CGGUGGUGGUGGUGAUGGUGCUGGUGGUGGUGGUGGUGAUGGUGCUGGAGGGAUGGGGGGCCAGGCCGCUAGGGUGGGCGGCGGUUCUUGGGCUAUUGGUGUUGGAGCUGCUGCUGCUGGUGGUGGUGACGCUGUGGCUGGUCGGCGACGGGAGGAGCGACGGCGGGCUCGAGCUCUCCUGGUGGUUCGGCGACGACUCCAUCUCCCGGGUCGGGUCGAGCUUCGAUGAGCUCUUAAAAAUCCGAACUUUAAGCAGGAAUAGAGAGAGAGAUAGAGAGAGAGGAAGCACCAGAGGAGUUUGAAGUGCUGGAGAGAGAGAGAGAUGAGGUGAGAGAAAGAGAGAGGUGAGAGAACCGGGGGGGAAGAGAGAGAGAGGUAUUGGUUUUGGGUGGCUUUUGUUUAGGUUUGGUGGUAAGAAAGUGUAGGUGGGGGAGACUUUUUCGUUUCUUGGUCUUCGCGUGGGGGACGGCGGCGGCCGCGGCGGUUGCGCGCGACGCGCCGCCGGGGCGAGGUGGUGAGUUCCACUCGGGGUACGACAGAUGACGGCGACCUUACGAGUUCAACCUUUUGACCGAGCUUGGACUUGGGUCAAAAAGGAAAAACAGAUACAACUUUGGACAAAGCCAGCCAAUUGGGCCAUGGACACUAAUUUUAGAGCCCUAGUGAUAUUCCCAUUCCACCCCCUCUAUCUCUCUCUCUCUCUCUGGGAAAUUCUAUAUGGGAAAUUCAAAAUCCACCUCAUUCAUGCCAUACUUGAAUUUUCCUCUCGAGAGGAAUUUUCCCAUUUUUAGCUUUUUAUCCAAAUUUUGGCUUCCAUACAAUUUGAUUAUUCUUUAGUGCGAAGUGACUCAACCUUUUAAGGUAUAUAUAAAUAUGGGAAAAUUCCAUAUAAGAAACUGAAAUAUUCUCAAGACUUAAAGUGGAAAUAAAUCUUGCAUUAGCUGACUUAGUUUGCUACUUUUAUGAAUUUUUUUGAAAUAUUUGUUUUUAAUUUCACCGUUUUAGAGGGAAAUCAUCAAGUAAGGCAUACUACUUUUGUUCGAAAUGAAUGUCUUUUUUUCUUUUUCUUUUUUUUGUUAGAUAAAGGUGAGGAGCUAGCAUCUUCUUUGUGCGCUAUUACAAGAGUUUUACGCUCGUUAUGAAAUAUUCGAAUUGAGUGACUACUCCACACUGCCCACAGCUUGAAUGUGCAGAGUUGGCGAGUCCUUCAUCACAAACCCCACCAAUAUACUAACAAUUCAUAAUAUCUCAAAACUAGGUAGCGUAACAUGAGUAUCUUAUAGAAUCAGGUCACUGGAAAUCGAGAGGCCACCAUUCACUCAAGAUUUUUCGAUUUUCAUUCACCCUUUUUCGGGUUAUCCUUAGGGGAGUUCGGUGGGACACGUUGCUAGCUUAUAUAGCUUUUCCGGGCUUUGAAUGGGGGGAGGGUCACUAUUCAAAGCAAAUGUUUAGCAACACCUUUCUCUCACUGAGGUCACGAAAGCUGCCAUUUGACUUUUCCCACUUUCAUUUUCGGACAGGUAGAUGGCCGCAGAUGACGUUGGUGGUACGUUUGAUCGGUUCCUUUGACUUUUGUAUACCGCAUCCAAGGAUUUGACCAUAAUAAUUUGACGGCCAUUUCUAAGAGGUUGCUGAGCAUCCAAGAAUAAGACUUGUUCGUGUAAAGCGUGAUAGAAUGCAUCGAGAAACGGCGCUUUAGAAAUGACGAAUUAGUCUCUUGAGAGACAUCAUAAAGAUCUCUUAAUUUAUUUACAACUGAAAUGAGCAAUUCUGAUUCUUGUUUUUUUCGAUGGAAAUGACGGAAUCAUUGCUGAUUUUAUAAUCCUUUCUCUGACAACUCUAUGAGAGCUAUGAAAUGAAAAAAAAAAAAAAACGGUUGGAUAUUAUGUUUGAAUAUGCUCUCUUUGUAUUUCUUAAAUAAUAAUCAAGGAAUUACACUUGUAGUUUAAAAAAUUGCUCAAGGAAGCUUAGCACGAUUUUAUAGAAAAAGGAAAAUUAUUCCUUAACUAGGUUAUUUUCUUUUUUGGUCAGAUAAUCCCUAACUAGAUUGCUCAGCAAACAAUGAGCAAAAAAAAAAAAGAAGAAUUUCCUCAUCCAACUUUGGUCCUUUCAUUAUUCUCUUCCAAUUUCAGAUUGAUAUGAUUUAGGAAUUAAUUAAUUUAAUUAUAUUCUUCGUUAACUAUAUGCUGAGUGAGAUAAUGUUGUAAUUAAUUAAAAUUGGUUAUUGAAAAUGACAUCUACAACCGUGAUACCCGAAGAAGAAGAUGGAAAGAAAAGUGGUAAAUUCGACUUGAACGUAAGGGCACUUUGGGAAUUUGAUAUUUCGACCACGCAAUUCUUGAUCCAGGCUUUCUUCUCAAUUUGAGGACGACGCUUUCUUGGCGGGGCCCACUCAUUUGAUUUAUCCCCCAAAUCUUCACUUUUAUUCCUAUAGGCCCUUCCAAACAUGGGUAUUUGAACUUCUCUCCCCCUUAAUUCUGUUUGACUCCUCAUUCUUUCCCCAAACUUUUUUGCCUUUCCAAACAUAGGCUCAGAUAUAUAGGGUAGAAGUGUUUCCAGAUUAACCCCUAUGUAUUUCUAGGAUUAGUCAUCACCACUAUCAGGUGUUUUUUGUUUUUUUUUUUUUUUUAUGUCGAGGAUUCAAUUUAGCUCACCUUACGGGAGUACAACGUCGACUAUACCUCGGGGGAGACUAACCCGACAACCCACCAGCCGGGGCCCCACGCUUAAGUCACGGAACUGCUUUGGGAGUUAUGGCGGACUUUGAGAGUCGAACCCUUGACCUAGCGGUCAGGAGAUUAGGCCUCAACCAACGCAACCAUGCGUGGGUGGCUUCCUAUCAGGUGUUUUUAUCCCGAUGUUUGUCAAUAAGUUACUUGAUAGCAAAAAAAAAUACAAAUAAUAAUAUGGACAAGUUUCCCCACUCGAUGCGUGAUGACUACGUUGUGCAGGGACCUCGCUUCUCGACAGUGGGAUUAUCGUCCCACGUUAGGAUUCUCCCUCUCAUUGAUGCCGGUUAUAACAUGGCACAAUUUUGAGGUUCGUGCUCUUGUUAGGUGCGUUGAUCCCGGCACCUUUCAUUAGGGUAUUUGGUCAAAUCUUAUAUAUGUGUUAAAAAAGAAUCUCUAAAAAGAAAUAGUUCAACUUGCCAAAGUGCCGAUGAGUUGUACACCAUCUUUCAAAGACUCCUAUUUGGUCAAAACUUUACUUUUAGAUUCUUCUGUUCUUAUGACCGUCGUAAUUUUAGUUUUUUGUUCAAUAUGAAACACCUCAAACGGUUUAACACAUAUAGAUAGUAAUAUGCAUAUUCGUACAUAAUUUCUACAUUUUUUCUAAGCCAUAACUACUCUCUUAAUUUUGGAGGCAAGAUUUGACUUUAUUUCUCCCAACUACAACCAAACAAGAUAACCUAUUAAAAGGAAUCUUGAGUAAUUCAACGUUUGAGCAGGAAAUAUUCAACAAAAUAAAAAUAAAAUCUACAAUUUGUUUCAAUCCAGCGCAUCAAUUGAUUUAAUCCCCCAAAGAGAAAGAAAAAAAAAUGUUCAGACAUAUAAAUAUUUGAGUCGUUCGUGACUUGACUUAAAGAAAGUCGUCGGUUGACUUGUUAAACUUUUUUUGCAAAGUGGUUUGUAUAUUUUAACGCGUUGAAGACUUUGCAGGGACAUAGUGGAGUCGUUGGCCUUUUUCUUUACAAGUUAUCUGGGACGAAAUCUAUUGGACAACGUGGAAGAAAAUAGAUCUAGAAUGUGUUGAGUCCAGUGCAUCUAGAGGAAAUAUCAGCAAUUUUAUAUUGAUUUAAGCCGAAAAGAAAAUAAUGAAAAAGGGGUUAGAAACGCCCUAGUCAUUUCUCUCACUUGACCUUACAAGCAUGUUUAAUGAAAUAAUCUUUAUAUGAAAUAAGAAAAAAGGCAAAUAAAGUGUGUCAAACUUAACGGCUUAGGGAAAGAAAAAGGUUGCUGGCCUUUUUUUCACUAGCUCAAGGGAUCUGUUAUAAAGUAAGGGUUGCCCCUAGAGCGGUCCAACUGUAUUGAUCCUGAUCUGGUUUUCAAGGGGAUUUAAUCGGUCCUUGGUUCUGAGAUCCUUGGGCUCUAUACUAUAUAGGUUGGUCUUUGGUUUUGGGAGUUUAGGGCUGGUCCAACUCAGAUCAACCUUAUAAAUAUUAUAUAUUUAAUAUGUUAUAUAUAAUAUUCUUUUACGUAUUCUAUAGUAUAAAGCCCUAACUUAAUGUUAAUCACAUUAACGAUCGGUUCAACCCGGAUCAUGCUUACCUCUAAUUAAUAAAAUGUGAAGUCAUGGUUUAUACUAAGCAUUUUGAACUUCUUAUGGUUUAAUUAUAUUCCAUUACUAAGUUUCACCUGGACUGUAGCCCAUAAUUCUCUUCUCUUAAACUUCCCAUCUCAUCCCAUUUCCCCAGCAGAAAAAAUUCAAAGACAAAUCAAAAGCAAGGGAAUUAUAGCAUGCUCCAGUGAUGGAAACACUUUAUUUCCAUAAGCAGCCUUGAUCGUUUUUAUGUUUUGUUAUUUUUAGUAAUUGUGAAAUUUCUAUUGUUAUUAUAUAACACUGAUUGAUUAAUGGUGCAUUGUUGAUAGAUAUGCAAUUUUAAAUAGUAGGCUUGUCUUUUUAGGGAAUACAAAAAGUAGAAAAAAAAAUUAUUGGUUGGUUCCGAAUUGACCUUAGAAUUGAAUCGGAUUGAUAGACUCAACAUGUCGGUUCUUGAUCCCAAAAUUGAGAACCAAUACUGUGUGAAUUGUUCUUUUGGUAGGUGUUGGAUUGAUCUAACUCGAAUCAUGCUCACCCAUAUAUAAAAGGAUAAUUCCUAAUCUACGACCUAAUUAACUCUAAAGUAUGUCCAAUACAAUACCAAUAUCCCAAAAAAUUUAUUCUUGGAAAAGAAGUCUUGGAUAUUAAUAUCACAGCGGCCAAACCUUUUGUGUCAUCAAAUACCAUUAAUCAUAAUAUUUUUUUGGGUCGCUAGAAUUCCUAAAUUAUAUCUAUUGUGAUGUUAAUGCCACAAAUUUUUGCAUACUUUAAAUGUUUGAGGUAUUGGUGACACAAAAAAUAAAAAAAUUCGAAGUAUUGAUGACAAAGUGGAUGAAGUUUUAAAGUAUGUUAAGAUAGGCAGAUAGUAUUUUAGCCAUGACAGUCCAAAAUUAGAGAUUUUGGCUGAAAAAAAAAAUAGGUUCGGGAUAUUUUUGUGUCAGAGCAGGGCAUGACUUAAAAGAUUUUUCGUGAUGUUUCCCCGUCAAAGUUACGAAUGAUUAGAAACAUAAGGACAAAUAUGCAAAUCUUUUAAGAAUAAAAAAUAAAAAAUAGAGGGGUAUUUUGGCAUCCCCAAGCACAGCACUCCAUCCCCGCAAGUCGAGCGGUGUAGCUGCAAACAAAAGAAAGAUAACCGGGGGAGCCGCACGCGCCAGGCGGCGGCGCGUCCGGAGGCGCAGUCAAGGGGGUGCAAACGGCCCGAACGUCGCGACGCGCGGCCGGGCCGGCGAGCUCGAAAAAUCUCGGACAACUCCGGGGGCCGGACGGGGGCCCCACCGAACUGAAGCUAGAGAGAGAGAGAGAGAGGGAGGGAGUCAGAGAAACGUAAGCGCGUUGUCAUUUGACUUGCGGCCAUUGCCUUGCUCUGUCCUCUUCUGUCUCUCUCUCUCUCUCUCUAUAUCUGUCUGUCUGUCGGUCUGUUUGUCUGUCUGUACCGUGCUGACCGCGGUUAUAUCGCAUCCUCUCCACGCUUGAGCAGGAAGAGAAAGAUGCCUCCUUCAUUAUCGAUCGAAUCCCCCGCACGGGAGAAAAAGAGAGGAGAAAAUAGAGAAAUGAGAAUAAAAAAAAAUGAAACUUUUACGAUUUAUUAUUAUUUAUUUAUUAUAAGUGAUUGGUUGGGGGUCUUCUUUUUGCGGAACGAAAAGCAAAAAGCUGAGAAAGCCCCGGCCGACCCACCUCCCACGUCGGCGAUGCGAAAGUGGUGCUUGGGAUUUGACUCCUUACAUCAAUGUCGCCACCCGUUUUGGUUGACGGCUAUUAAGUGAAUUAGUGUUGCAAUUUCCAUCCCUCCGCUUGGGUUGCCCAUGAUCCCUUCUUCUUGCCCUAGCGUCGCGGUGAUAUGGCGCUCGGCCUAUUCCUUCCUGAGCGCCGCCGAUCCGCCUGUUGCCACAUGCCCCGAUGACUAUUGGAACGCGUAGAUUGAUGUCAUGACAGAUAGACCAUAUUGAGGCUCACGAUUUUAUCAUUUGACAUAGAAGUAGAAAUAUUCUCAAAAAGUUAGCCAUCCUGAUAGUGCUUCUAUUUAAACAUGCUUAAUGUUAUAAUUCCAAGAGUAAAAUUUAAAUGAGUGUUCAAAUGUUAAAUUUAUUGUCAUGUCAAAAGAUGUCUCUUGUAAGUUAAUUUUAGUAUCUCACACACAUCGCAAAGAACACUAUUUCCCUUUUGAUGAGUAAUUCAAUUCAUUCUCACUCAUGUCAUCGUCUUAGAAACUUGCAAGGAGCUGCUUCUUUUCAAGAUCCUUUGGCCUCAAUAAGCACUCUCUACCCUUAUACAAAUAUUCUCAAGCAAGGUUCCCGUCUAAAUCGAGCUUAAUCCAGAUCCUUUUAGCCCCAACGAGCACUCCUGCCCUUAUCGGAAUAGGUUGUUACUGAUAUUAUGGAGUGUGGCUCCUCUAUAAGCCGAGUCUCUAAGCUAGAGAAUUGCAGACUAUUCUAUGCUAAGUUUUGAUCUUGUGACCUCAUAAAAGAGGCAACGUGCAUCUUCUCCAUUGAACUAACACGCUCGGUGGUUUGAUCCAUCAGCUCUAUUCUAUUAUAUCAAAUGUGGCACUUGUCUAUUGACUUGCAAUUACGGAAUUCUUUAUAUUGUACAACGCCGGUCUAUUCAAUGCCUAGUAGGAGAAAAAUAUCUGAAGAGUACGAGAUAAUGGCUUGACCAAUAGAGAAGAGAUUCAGAUGCCUUCUCCCCCGACUAAGCACUGCCCUCGUCGGCACAAGCACAUCGCUCCAAAUCCGCCACUAAGACAACAAAUGACCCGUUACAUCAACCCUUACAAAAUAUCAAGGAUUCAGCUUGUUGCCAUCACGAAAAUGUACACAUUUUUCUUUCCCUUUUCGAUGGAAUGGAAUGGUGGGAUGUUGUUUACUUUUCUUGCAAAUUGAUGGUCAUCCAUAAACAUUAUAUCUAUAUUUUCAUUAUAUUGUGAAUUUACUAUCACAUCAUCUACGAUCUUACUUUAAUUUAUGGAAAAUUGAGCUAGAUGUCGCUAGUGUGCUUUAUUAAUGUUUUGUAUUGGAAGACUUUCUGGGAGUCUCAAAUUGGGAAGUCGUUAAAAACGGGAAAUUACUCACUAUUGAUUCAAAGACCAAUCGCUAUUUGAAAAAAAGAUAAUUCAAGUUCACUAGAGAAAUGCAUGGAGAGAGCUCAUAGGACAUGUUGGUUCUAGUAAAUACAAAUUGAAAGAGUCAAGAUCUCGAGAGUAUUAAAUUCCCACCACAUGAUAGUAGGGAGAUUAAACUCUAGCUCUUUCACGAGAUGCACAACAGCUAAUGCCCCCUAUGUGAAUUUCAUUUUCUUUUAGAAGUAAAUCCAAGUGUUGAGAGGUUUUUUGAGAAAAAGAAAAAAAAAGAAAAGAAAGUAUAUCCCACUUUCGACCGGUCCGUGCGACUGUUAGGGACUGCGGGGGGAUUAGGCUAGGGGGUGGCUGCCAACCGGCGAUGGGACAAGAGAGAGAUGCGGGACGAGGGAGAAGUUCGGGCUAGUGUUUGCAAGUCGUUUUGCAGGGCAACGGUUGCUUGGGAAGGAAAAAAAAUGACGAUUUGUGUACAUAUGCGAGGUUGUCGGGCGGCGAGUUGAUACGAAGCGACGAAACUCAAGAUGUAAAUUGCAAGUUUCAAGCGUCGACAUAAUAUUCAAUCUGUAUAGAUGACUUUCUUGCAACUAUUCCUGCAAUCCCAUCUCAGGAUUUUUUAUGGAGGAGUGGCUUUGAAGCUAGGCCUUCUUCUCUAAUCAAAUCUAUUUCUUCACAGGAUAAUCCCGACAAUUAAAGCAAGUUGAGGCUUGGCAGGAACAUCAAUUAGGACCAGAAAACUUUCAAGUGAUGUAACGUGAUGACAUUGAUGUGAUCCUAUUAGGCAUAAUUAUCGUGUUUGUUCCUUAAUUUGGAUUAAUUAUGCCAGGCUGACGUGAGAAUUGUGUUGAUUUUUUCGCCAUAGAUGGGCUGACGUUGCUGUGCUUUGCCUCGGCAUCUUUUCCACCUCUUUUCCUACAUCUUUUAUCUAGGGUUGGCAAAUGGAUUUGACCUAGUAUGACCCGCCGGUUCAAUUAAUGGGCCAUGCUGGCCGAUCCAUUUUGACUGGAUCUGAUCUCUUUCGUGCCACGCAACCUCGUUAGCUGAAGCGGGGCAACCAUGCUUGUGCCCGAGCCGGUUAGAAAGACAAAAAAAAAUGGGAAUUUUGUCCAGAAUCAAUCGGAAAAGUCCCCCGAUGACUGAGUAUCACGAUCUUGGAUUAACUCCCAAUAAUAGAUGGGUUUCGUGAUGCCAUGAGUUCGAGCCAUACCAUGAAUGAACUUCUAGCCCGCACACGCGUGCUAGAAGAGACAUUUACCAGCUCAUGUGAAGACAAAUUAUGAAUUAUGCACAUUGGUGAAACUACAAUAUAAAUGAUCGUAUGAUUAUGAGUAGGCUAACUAAUUAUUUCUCAAAUCGAACCUUCCGCAACUGAUAUAAGAUCCGCAUGGUAACACCUAGUCUAGGUAGCUGCAUUGGUCAUUCCUUCGCAUUCCUUAAUAAAAGAGAAGAAUCUCCAUCAUGACUAAUAGUCGAUCGUCCUUGUUCUAACAAUCACAUUGUGGAGGUUUGAUUGCCGUCCUUGGUCGAUCUUAGGGGAAAGCCAUGAGUAGGUGGUUGUAUAUCAUGGAUCGAAAUGAAAUCCCAAUUAAUUCGAAAUAUUCAUAGGAAAUUUGGGUAGAAAAAGCAACGAACAAUAAAAGCAUGGAGGGUUGAAAUCGAAAGAAGUGGCCGCAAUGCUUAAAGCUCAAGGGCUCUAAACAAGCUUUCCAAAUAAUACUUUUAGUCCUUAAAACUUAUUUUGUUCAAGUAAUUUUAUGUUAUUACUUUUUUUUUCUAUAAUUGCAUGUUUUAAUGUUGAAAUGAGAUUAACGAGAAAUUUUUGAAAAGAGAUUGAAAUUCCGAACCUAAGCCCAAAUCGGCCCGGACUAGACCGAAUUACAUCAAUCCAAGACCAAUUAUUCUCCAUUCGGGGAGGACCAAAUGCCUGUCUCGUCCGUAAUUUCCUCCUUGAAAGUUUUGGCGACUAUCCAGAUCUCUAUACUACUCCACACGUCGAAAUAUUAAAUUUGGGUCAAGAAACUUUUCAAAGCUAACACCAAUCCAAUGAAUAAAAUCACAAGAAGUCCCACAAAAAAAAAAAAAAAGUGUUUUUUCUGCUGGGACGGAAGUGCGUUCAUUUAAAUGCUUUUGACUGUGGUUGGCUGGUCCGCUUUGAAGAUCGAAUUUAUGUUCCCAUCGUCCUUCAGCGGAUCUCCUUUUGCUGAACGGUUAUGAUUUCUUUAUUUCGAUCCAACAGUGAAAAGUCAAAAAGACGCGAGCACUAUAAAGCGCGAAUAAUAACUAUUUUGUCCCGAAAAUAAAUUCUGACUAGACAUUUAUAUUUUUAUUCUUUGAACAAAUUUCUUAGUAGAGGUACAUAAUUUCUAUUUUUGAAACAUAGAUUUGUUUGAUAGGCCUUCUUAAAUAUCUCCCUCCAACAGCAAUGGCCGACGGGGGUAGAGAGAGGUGGGUGUAGGCAGCAAGGGUCUAGCAACGAGAAUAUUUUUUAUUUUUACUUCAAUUCCAAAGAUAAAAAGGUAGAAAAUUUUUACUUGUCAUUUUUUCAAACUUAACACAGGGCUAAUUUUUUUUUUCCGAAAAAUAUAAUAAUGAAAUUGCGUUACUAAACAAAUUUCUAUUCCAAACAUAUUUUCAAAAAUAGAAAAAUAAAGAAAUAAAGAAACGUAAUAGUUAUCAUUUACACCCCUUAGGACUGGACUUCCCUUUUGUACAAGGUUGGGACUAUGAAUGAUUACGAUGGAUCCGAUCUAUUAUAAAUCGAAUUUAGAUAAGUAUAUUUCUUUUCAUAAAUAGUAUUGAUAAACAAAGCUUUGUGUGACAACCUUAGGUUUUUACAACCAUACUAGCUGUUCAAAAUGAACUUUUACUGCUCAUUACCAAACAAUAAAUGAAUAUAUAGCUUUAGUAGCAGUCUAGAUAAUAAUAAAAUUGUUCUUUCUAAAGUUAGAUUCAAAACUUCUUGAUUACCAGAUUUAAGUUCAACUUUUCCCACGCUAGAUCAAAAUCUUCGACAUCGUUUCCCCCCUUCACUUAUUUAAUAAGUCAAAGAUUAGUAGUGCCUUUUUUUUUUGUGUGGCUAAAACAAACCUUCCAUUGCAUCAAAAUAAUUCAAAUAUUACAAGGAUAAACUAAAGCAUAAAUUAAGAUGAUAAAUUAAAGAAGACUCCUCACCCUAAAUUUUUAACUCUAGAUGGGAGAUCAUUAUAAACGAAAGAAGAUGUAGUUACUAACCGAUGAAAAGCCCAUUUUUCAAGCUCAUGAGUAGCUCCAAUACUAGUUCUAUCGAUCCACUUCAAACUCCAUCCUGGGUUGUUGCUAAUUUGUAAAUGGGAGUCUGAGACGAAAGGAUGAAUAUACCAAGGGCAAAUGCCCUUUUUUUUAAUAGCAUUAAUUAACACCUUACAACCACUUUCAAACACCACCUUGUGGAUGUCGAGGGACUGAGUAGCUUUGCAUGAGAGAAGAAGAGAUGUAGCUUCCACUUCUACUGGUGAGUUCCAUCUUCCUUGUCUUGUCCACACUUGGACAGUUGAGCCUUGAGCCGAUCAUGCAAUAAUACCUAUGCCCCCUUUAUUAUCUUUCCACGUGACAUCUACAUUAAAUUUCAAUUUUUCAUUUGACGGAGAAAUCCAAGAGUUUGUCCUUACCCCAAAAGAAUCCAAUUCCUUGCUUAACUUAACUUUGUUCUCUCUCUCUUGAACAUAUUUGAAUAUUCCAAGAGAUCUUGUAUGACCAUCUGAAUUGCUUGGGGAGGAACUGGAGUUGUAUGCUCACAUAACUUUGUAUUCCUAUAACGCCACAUUCUAGUGCAGAGAAUUGCUGCAUAAAGGGCGAAGAGAUUGCAGUCCAAUCCCAUUCUAUGUGCUAUUUGAUCACCAUCUCUUCAGACUUGAAGUUCCAAGCAGACGAGAUAACAUGUGUGUUUGGUUCAGCAUUCUUAAUGGGCUUUCAGCCUUCAAAGCCCCUUGAAGAAAUGUUGGACUGUUUGAUAUGAAGUAACUUUCAAGUGAAAGUUUGCAUUGAGAAGGCUGAAAACCCAAUGCCAAUAGGGACUAGCUUUGAGCUUUUAGCAUUUGGCCAAAUGCUGAAACUUACUAUUUUUUUUUCCCAAAACUAUCAUCAUUUAUUCUUCAAAUUUCUAAUUUUACCAUCGUUAUUUUUUUAAAUGCCAAAAUAAUGCUAGAAAAAUCAAAAUUAUAUAAAUACUAAAAAAAUAAAUAUAUUUUGAUCUUUUAAAAAAUAUAUAUUUAUAUAUUUGAUUUUUUUAGCAUUAUUGUCAAAAUUUAUAUGUAAAAAGUUACAUAAAUUAUUAUUUUUUCAAUUUUAAACCUAUAAAAAUUAAAAAAUUCGGACGAAGAGUUUGGUCCUUUUAAAAUAUAUAUAUAUAUAUAUAUAUAUAUAUAUAUAUAUAUAUGUGCAUUUGAUUUUUUAGCAUUAUUUUCAAUUUUAUAUUUAAAAAGUUGCACACAUUAUUUUUUCAAUUUUAAACAAAUAAAAAUUAAAAGAUUCCGACAAAGAGUUUGGUCUUUUUUUUUUUAAAUUACAUAUAUGUUUUUGAUUUUUUUAGCAUUAUUGUCAAAAUUUAUAUUUAAAAAGUUGCAUACAUUUUUUUUUCAAUUUUAAACAAAUAAAAAUUUAAAAAAUUCAAUGAAGGGUUUGGUGUUUUUUAAAAAAAAAAUUAUAUAUGUAUUUGAUUUUUUUAGUAUUGUUGUUAAAAUUUAUAUUUAAAAAGUUGUAUACAUUAUUUUUUUUUUCAAUUUUAAACAAAUGAAAUUAAAAAAAAUUAAUAUUAAUCACGUAAAGAGCUUUUCAAAUGUGUUUUCUACCAAACGACAUUUCUCUCAAAAUUGCUUUUCAAAGCAAAGUUUACCAAACGGUAUUUAUAUUUGCCUAAAGUCUUUUAGGCUAAAUUGCUUUACAUUUUCCCAAUAAGCUUUCAAAAUGCUGAAUCAAACGCACCCAACAUCCUAUGGGCUCCAUAAAAUUUGGGCUAGAGGACAUGAUGUAAAAAUGUACCGAAUUCUCCUUCGAAGCUCUACACAACACGCAAGAAGGGUUUGGGACAUCGAUCAAUCGAAACAAGUUAGCUCGACAAGGUAAGACAUCAACCGCUAUCCUCCACAAUAUCAUUUUCAUGAGCUCUAGCUUUCUAGAUUUUGUUCCAAAUCAUGUGGUUGUUGCCAUUUUCAGUUCGCAACUUUAUGAGAAUGUAAGCAGAUUUAAAAGAAAAUAUUCCAUUAAUAGCAAAAUGCCAAAUGGGUUUGUCCACGCAAAUGGAGUUUGGCACAUGGAUAUGAAGAAUGGCUUGAACUGAGGUUGGGUAAAAAGUCUGAUUUAGACUUAAUAUAUCCCAAGUUUUUGUCCUUGGGAUAAAGAAGCUUUCUAUUUUUCUUUGCUUCAAGACAGGGUCUAGAUCAAUAAAAGAAAGUAGAUGAGAUUAAACAUUAAGAAUCCAAAGGGUGAUUUCCUACCUUGAUUGAUUUUCCAUCUCUUGUUUGAUAAAAAGUUCCCAAUUUGAGUAUUUCUGGCAGCCAAGAUCGCCUUCCACAAAGGAGAGGCUGAUGCCUCGACCUCAUGAUUCCAAAAAUUGGAGCUCCAGAAAUACUUCCCUUCAAGAACUCGAACUCAUAGGUUGCCUCUAUCUUGGAUCAUUACCUAGCUGAGUUUCACAAGCAAAGCGUUGUUGAAAUCCCUAUUCUGCCGAAAACCCAUUCCUCCACUCUUUUAGUUUCUACAUAGUGAAUCCCGACAUUUAAGUGUGAAGUGUACGUUUUUCUCUAUUGGCACACUCCGCCAAAAUUUUCUUGUAGAGGCGUCAAGUCUAUCACAGGUGCUACAAGGUAGUCGACCAAAUUGCAUAGCAUAGAUUAGUGUGCUCUGAACAACUGAUUGAAUAUAUAUUACUCUAUCCACCCAAGAUAGUGUCUUCCUUUUUCAGGAGCUAAGUUUGUUAUCAACCUUCUGUUCAAGGAAUUAAUAUUUUGCCCUACCUUUCCUUGGUUGAAGAAGGGAUCCCCAAGGUACAGCGCUUCAAGAUCUGUCUUUCGCCUGUGGAGCUCAUCCAUACAAAACUUUUUCACGGCCACAGAAGUAUUUUUUUAAAUAUUUUUAUAUAAAAAAAAAAAAAAAGACAGACAGCUUCUGAUGAUUCAACCUUUGACCUGACCAUGAGCAAUAAAUUUCAAUGCAUCCUUUCAGUCCUCUCACUCGAUGCUCAGUGGCUUCGACAAAUAACAAGAAGUCAUCGGCAUACAUAAGGUGAGUUAAAGGCUGACUCUCUUGCCUUACUCUUAUACUUGCAAUAAUCUUCAAAUCCUCUGCUCUAGAUAGAAUUCUAGAAAGAAGUUCAGUAUAAAUUACAAACGGAUGUGACGAGAUAGGGUCAUCUUGUCGGUGUCCCUUUUGAGGUUUAAAACUUCCCACAGGUCUACCAUUGAUCAGAAGAGAAUAAUGAACAACGAAAUAUGUAUUUUUAUGAGCUUACAAAAAAGGACGAAGAACCCCAGGCUACGAAGGAUUGCAUAAGUAUAUUCCAGUCAACUCUAUCAUAAGCUUGUAACAUAUCCACCCUGACUCCCAUGAAUGGACGCCCCAUUCUUUUCUUUCUCAUGGAGUGUACAAUUUCCUGUGCAAUCACAGAAUUUUCUUGUAUGCUUCUACCUGAAACAAAAGCCAAUUGCCGAGGUGAGAUAAUAUGACUGAGGAACCCAUUCAGUCUAUUUGCCGACAUCUUAGAGAUAAGUUUAUAGCUCACAUUGCAUAGACUUGUGGGCCAAGACUGGUUAUAGGUGUGUGCAUUCUGAGUUUUCGGGAUGAGUACUAUAAAAGUAUGACUGGGAAGAUGGGGCAAUUGACUAGCGUUAAAGAAGUGCUGCACAUAUUGUACAAUUUCGUCCUUCACCACUUCCCAGCAUUUCGCGUAGAAAAUGGCAUGGAAUCUGUUUGGGCCAGGUGAUUUAAGAGGGGGCCAUCUCUUUCCUGACGUCGGUGAUACAUUUAAUCGGUUCCUUUGACUUUUGUAUACCACAACCGCAUCCAAGGAUUUGACCAUUAAAAUUCAAUGGCCAUUUUUAAGAGGUUGGUGAGCAUCCAAGAAUAGGACCUAUGUGUGUAAAGCACAAUAAAAUGCAUCGAGAAAUGACACUCUAGAAAUGAUGACCUGGUCUUUCAAGAGAUCAUAAAGAAUUCUUAAUUUAUUCGUGAUUGAAACGAGCAUUCUGAUUCUUGUUUCGAUUGAAAUGACGGAAUAAUUGCUAAAUAUACAAUCCUUUAUUUGACAAAUUUAUGAGAGCUAUGAAAUGAAAUGGAAAUUGUUGGGUACUAUGUUUGAAAAUCCUCUUUUGUAUAUAUCUUAAAUUGUAAUUGAGGAGUUACGCUAGUAGUUUAAAAGAUGCUGAAGGAACCUUAACACGAUUUUAUAGGGGUAAGAAAAAAGAAAAGAAGAAUAUUAGUCCUUAACUGGAUUGCUCGACAAAUAAUGAGACUCCCCUAGAAAAAGAGAAUUUCCACAUUUAACAAUGGUCCUUUCAUUAUUCUCUUCUAUUUUGAAAUUAAUUUGAUUUAGGAAUUUAUUAAUUUAAUUUUAUUCUUUGUUAACUAUAUGCUGAGUGAGAUAAUGUUAUAUUUAAUUAACUUGGUCAUAGAAAAAUGAAAUUCAUGACCGUGAUACCUGAAGAAGAAAAAGAAGAGGCAAAGAGAAGAGGUAAAUUCGACUUGAACGCAAGGGCACUUUGGGAAUUUUCUUGUCGGCCGCGCAACUCUUGAUAGGUGCUUUCUUCUCAAUUUGAGGGCGACGGCUUCUUGGUGGGCCCCACUCGUUUUAUUCACCCCCAUCACCCCCGACUAUUCCGUGAUUCAAUUGAGAUUAGAGAAUAUUAUCAUCAUUCGAGACUUCAAGUGAUAAGUGUGAUAGGACAAGUCCAUCUUGAAGUGUUUUGACGUAUGACAAACGUUAUCCAUCAAGUCUAAUCUGAANNNNNNNNNNNNNNNNNNNNNNNNNNNNNNNNNNNNNNNNNNNNNNNNNNNNNNNNNNNNNNNNNNNNNNNNNNNNNNNNNNNNNNNNNNNNNNNNNNNNUCCCUAUUUAUCAUAUUGUUUCAAAUGCAGUAGGGGAGUCAGUCUCAGCUCAAACAGUCAACAUGAAGACCAAGUGGCGGUUGAGGUCGUGCAAUACAGUUAGAUGGAAAGUGUAUUUAGUGAUCUCUCAGUGCUCAUCAAAGAUGCUGUUUUCAUAAGCAGAGAGAUUUUGGUCGUUGCGAAAGCAGUCUCGAGAGUAUUGAUUUUUUCACAAAGAAUAAUGACAAUUGAUCAACAUGAACAGUAGUGGUACGAGGAGAAGUAGGCCAAUGGGGGGAAAAUUUGCUCUCGAUUAAUCCUCCAGAAUAAAAACAUGAAUAGUGUAUCCCGCACCUGCAAUUUUGAACUAGGAGGACUUGGGGUAUGGUAAACAGUCACAUACCCUCUGGGGGUGUUUGGCCUUUUUCUUGCCAUCCGGAACAUCAUAAAUCCCUUGAAAAUUAGUAAUAAUGGGAUGGUCAUUAACGGGUGGCCCCCCUUUUUUUUUUCCCCCCCCCCCCCCCCCCCCCCCCCCCAAAAUCUUAACUUAUCUUUCCUAGAUGCCCUUCCAAACAUGGGUAUUUGAACUUCUUUCCCCCCUAAUUCUCUUUCACUCCUCAUUCUUUCCCCAAACUUUUUUGCCUUUCCCAACAUAGGCUUAGAAAUCCAAAAAAAAGAAAAAAUAGGCUUAAUCAACACCUUGUCUGGUGUUUUUAUCCCAGCGUUUGUCAGUAAAGACAAAAUGUACAAGUUCCCCCUCGAGAUGCGUGAUGACUUCGCUGUGCAAAAACCUUGCUUCCUAAAUGGUCCCACAUUAGGAUUGUCCCUCCUUCUGACGCUGAUUAUAACGGAACACAGUUAUAAAAUUUGUUCAAACUCAUGUUUGGUGCUUUAAUCCCAAUACCUAUUAUUAGUUACUUGGUCAAAUCUUAUAUGUGUGAAAAAUAAUUUCGAACAAAAGAGUCCAACUUGUUGAUGCAUCGAUGAGUUGUACACCAUCUUUCAAAGAUUUGUUUGAUCAAAACUUUAUUUUUAGAUUAUUCUUUUAUAAUAAUUGUCGUAAUUUUAGUUUUCGGUUGAAUAUGAAAUGCCUCAAACGGUUUAACACAUAUAAAUACUCAUAUGCAUAUUCAUAUGUAAUUUCUACACAAUUUUUCAGACAUAAUUACUCUCUCUGACUCCCCCCCCCCCCCCCCCCCCCUCCCAAAAAAAAGGCAACCGAACAAGAUAACCUAAGAGAAUCUUGAGUAAUUCAUCGAAAAAAAAUGUUCGGCCUACAUAAAUAUAUGAGUCUUUCGUGACUUGACUUAAAGAAAGUCGUCGGUUGACUUGUUACACUUUUUUGGCGAAGUGGUUUGUAUAUUUUUAAAGGGUCAAAAACUUUCACAAGACAGAUGAAAGUGGGGAGUCGUUGGCCUUCCUUUCUUUAGGAGUUAUCUGGGAAGAAAUCUACUGGACAUAACGGAGAAAUUAGAUCUAGAAUGUGUUAAACCUGGUGCAUCUAGAGGAAAUAUAAGCAAUUUCAUAUUGAUUUGAGCCAAAAAAAAAAAUAAAAUGAAAAGGGGGUUAGAUACAACCCACUCAUUCUCUCACUCGACCUUACAAGCAUGUUUUUUUUUGGUCAGUAACCUUACAAGCAUGUUUAAUAAAAUAUUUUUUUAUGAAAUGAGAAAGAAGCAAAUAAAGUAGGUCAAACUUAACGGCUUAGGGAAAGAAAAAAGGUUAUUGGCCUUUUUUCACUUGGCUCUGGGGAUCUAUUAUAAAAGGAUUGGUACCACUCAAAAUCCUAACCUACUGCCUAAUUUUUUUUUUGGUCCAAAAAACCUACAAAUUAUCUUUACCAAAAAAAAAAAAAAUUAUGUUCACUACAAUAUCCACAAAAAUUUUCACAACAUAUAUGCUUGGGGUGUUGGCAAUACGAAAAAAAAUGUUUUGGAUAUUGAUAUCAUAGUGGCCAAACCUUUUUGCGUCAUCAAAUACCCUUAAUCAUAAGUUUUUGUGUUACUUGAAUACUUAUAUUCAUCGUGACCUUAAUGCCACAAAUUAUUGCACACUCUACAUGUUUGGGAUAUUGGCAACACAAAAAGAAAAAUUCGAGACAUUGGUGAUAAAGUGGCUGAAGUUUUAAAGUAUUUUGAGGUCGAUAGAUGUUAUUUUAGCUAUAAUGGUACAAAAUUAGAGGUCUUGGCUGCAUGAAAGAAAGGUUCGGGAUAUUUUCAUGUCUAAGCAAGGUAUGACUUAAAAGAUUUUCCAUGAUAUUUCCCGGUCAAAGUUACGAAUGAUUGGAAACACCGAGGACAAAUAUGCAAAUCUUAAAGGAGAAAAAAGGGCAGAGCGGUAUUUUGGCAUCCCCAAGUACAACCCUUUUGUCCGAAAAAAAAAAAAGUACAACCCUCCAUCCACGCAAGUCGUGCGGUACAGCUGCAGACAAAAGAGAGAUAACCGGGGGAGGCGCACGCGCCAGGCGGCGGCGCGUGGGCAGCGGAGCCCCGGGGGGGCAAACCGCCAGAGCAUCUCGACGCGCUGGCGGGCCGGCGAGUUCGAAAUGUCGGACAACUUGGGGGCGCACGUGGGGUCCCACCGAAUCGAACCGAAUCGAACCGGGAGAGAGGGGGAGUCAAAGAAACGUACGCGGGUCGUCAUUUGACUUGCGGCCAUUGCCUUGCGCUGUCCUCUUCUGCCCCUCUCUCUGUAUCUGUCUGUCUGUCUGUCUGUCUGUCUGUACUGUGCUGACCGUGGUUGCAUCGCAUCCUCUCCACGCCUGAGCCGGAAGAGAAAGAUGCCGCCUUCAUUAUUGAUCGAAUCCCCCGCGCGAGGGAAAGAGAGGGAGAGGAGAAAAUAGAGAAGUGAGAAUAAAAGAUGAAACUUUUAUUAUUUAUUAAAUAGGGAUUGGUUGGGGGUUUUUUUGCGGAACGAAAAGCAGAAAGCUGAGAAAGCCCCCCCACACAGCCGGCCGCCCCACCUCCCACGUUGGUGAUGCGAAGGUGGUGGGGUUGGGGGGUUUGACUCCUCACGUCAAUGUCGCCACCCGCUUUGAUUGACGGCUAUUAAGGGAAUUCGUGUUCCAAUUUGCAUCCUUUCUCUUAGGGGUUGCUCACGAUUGCCUGUACUUGCCCUAGCACCAGGAUGAUUUGCCAGACCUUUCUCUUUUUUGGCGCCCGGCUGAUCUUUACUGGAUGUCGUGACUCCGCCCGUCAUCACAUCCCCUGAUGAUCAUUGGAACGCACAUAUAAAUUCUGUGAUAUCCUUAGAUUAACAUAUUCGAAGUAUAGUUUGCUUUGAUUAAUUUGCAAAGUAUUACUCGCCUUGACCAAUCUUAUACCAAGUUUCGUGAUUUUAUCAUUUGACAUAUAGGUAGGUAUAUUCUCAAGAUGUCAUCCAUUCUAAUAGUGCUUCUACUAGAAUAGGAAUUCCAUGCUAAAUUUGCCAUCACAUCAAAAGAUACCUCUCAUGAAUUAAUUUUAGUUUCACACGCACACAUAUAUCUUUGGAAAACUUUUACCCUAUCAAAAUGCAAUUCGGUUCAUUCCCAACCCCACUUUGCCAUUUUAGAAAUUUCCUAAGAGUCGUUCCUUGUCUAGAUCCUCCGAUUCCCAUGGGCACUCCCCACCCUCAUUGAACUAAGUCGUUAUGGAUUUCUCAAGUGUGGCUUCUACCUAAGUCAAGCUUAAUCCAGACCUUUUGGAUCCAAUGAGUACUCAACGCCCUCAUCGAAUAUAUAUUCUCGAGUGUGGCUCCUGCCUAAGCCAAGCUUAAUCUAGACCCUUUGGCCCUUGCAAGCAUUCCAAGCCCUCGUCAAACCAGGUCAUUAUAGAUAUUCUUGAGCGUAACUCCUACCUAAAUCAAGACUUUAAGCUAGAGAGAACUGCAAGCUAGUCCACACUAAGGUUCAAUCUCGGGACCUCAUAAAAAGGCAGCACUAAUCUUCUCUGCCGAACGGUGAAAAAAAUCUUCUCUGCCGAACUAACACGCUUGGCGGUUCAAUCCAUCAACUCUAUUCUAUUAUGUUAGAUGGGGGACUUGUCUAUUGACUUGCAAUUGCGGAAUUCUUUAUAUCAUAGAGCGGCCUUUUAUUCCAUGUCUAGUAGGAGAAAAAUAUUUGAACAGUAGGAGGCAAUGCUUUGACCAAUAGACGGGAGAUUCAGAUGCCUUCUCCCCCCACUAAGCACUGCCCUUGUCGGCACUAGCACGUCACUCCAAAUCCGCCAUUAAGACAACAAAUGACCCGUUACAUCAACCCUUACAAAAUAUCAAGGAUUCAGCUCGUUGCCAUCACGAAAAUUUAUGUAAUUUUCUUUCGCUUUUCAGUGAAAUGGAAUGGUGGGUUAUCGUUUACUUUUCUUGCAAAUUGAUGAUCAUCCAUGAAAUAUUAUAUGUUUAUCUUUACUAUAUUAUGAAUUUACUGGGGCAUCGUCUACCGUCUUACUUUAGUUUAUAGAAAAGUAGGCCAUACAUUGCCGGUGUGCUUUAUUAAUGUUUCGAUUCAUAAGACUUUUUGGAAGGCUCGAAUCGUGAAAUAAUCCAAAAACAGGAAAUAGUCACCACUAAUUCAAAUACCAACUGCUAUAUAAAAAAAGAUAAUUCAAAUUCACUUAUGAAAUAUAUAGAGAGAAUUUGUAGGGCGCGUUGGUUCUAGUGUAUACAUAGCGAAAGAGUCAAGAUCUCAAGAGCGUUAAAUUCCCACCACGUGAUAGGAGGGAGACCGAACUCUGGCUCUUUCGUGAGAUGUGCAAAAGCUAAUGCCCCGCUGUGUGAGGGAAAAGUACAAAAAAAAGUCAUAAAUUAUUAGAUUAGUAUCGAUUCAAUUUUAAACAUUUCAAUUAAACUAAUUUAAUCAUAAAUAUUUUCACAUUGGUACUAAUUCAGUCCGACUGACGCUGACGUUGCAAUUUUUUCAAUUUUUUUUAUUAAUUCUAUUUCUUUUCUUUUUCCUUUUCUUUUCUCUCUUCCCGGGAACUUUUCGUAGUGGCCAGCAAGGCUUGCCAAGCCAUUGGGUGAGGGUUGCAACCCACCCCGGAGGCUCGCUGGCCACUAUAAGGAAAGUCCAAGGGGGAGGAGAGAAAAUAAAGGAAAAAAGAAAAAGAAAAAGAAAAAAAAAAGAAAAAAAUUAAUAAAAAAUUUGGAAAAAAUAAAAAUCAUUUAAAAAUUGCCAAGUCAGCGUUCGACCACCAGCCGGCAUCUACGUUAGCAUCAGCUGACCAAAAUUGGUUAUAUGGAUUGAAUUGGUAUCAAUGUGAAAAUAUUUGAGACUAAAUUAAUUUGAAAAAUUUAUGAUUGAAUUGAUAUCAAUACGAUAGAUUUAAGACUUUUUUGGUACUUUUCUCCUAUGUGAAUUUUUUUUUUUAAGAAGUAAAUCAUAGUGUCAAGUAGCUUUUAGAGAAAAAAGAAGAAGGUAUACCCCACUUCUGACUGGUCCAUUCGAUUGUUAGGAACCGCGGAGGGGCUUAGGCUGGCGGUGGCUGCCAAUCGGUGACGGGAUAGGAGAGAGAUGCCGGACGAACGAGAUGUCUGGAUUAGGGUUUGUGGGUUGUUUUGCGGGGCGAUGGUAGCUUGUGGAGAAAAGAACAACGAUUUGUGUACUUGUGUGGGUUAUCAAGCAGCGAGUCGAUACCAAUCGGCGAUCCUCAAGUUGUAUGUUGUAAGUUUCAAGCGUUGAGAGAGUAUUCAAUUCGCACGUGGCCGCAAACAAGAGGUGACUUUCUUGCGACUAUUCCUGAAUCCCAUCUCAAGAUUGUUGAUGGAGGAGUGGCUUUGAAGCCAGGCCUUCUCCUCCAAUCAAAUCUAUUUCUUCAAAGGAUAAUCCCGACAAUUAACGCAAGUUGAGGCUUGGGAGGAACAUCGAUUAGGACCAGAAAACUUUCAAAUGAUGUGACGUGAUCACAUCGAUAUGAUCCUAUUAGGCAUAAUUAUUGCGUUCGUUCCUUAAUUUGCAUUAAUUUAUGCUAGGCUGACGCAAGAAUUGUGUUGAUUUUUUCGACAUUAAUGGGCUAACGUUGCUGAGCUUUGCCUCGGCAUCCUUUCCAUCGCUUUUCUUACAUCUUUUAUCUAGGGAUGGCAAAUGAAUUUGGCCUAGCAUGACCCGCUGGUUCAAUUAACGGGUCAUGCUGGCCGAUCCAUUUUGAUUGGAUCUGAUCUCCUUUGCGCCACGCUGCUCCGUUAACAGAAGUAGGGCAGCCAUGCUUGUGCCCGAGCUGGUUAGAAAGACAAAAAAAUUGGGAAUUUUGUCCAGAAUUGAUUGGAAAAGUCCCAAGAUGAAUGAGUAUUACAAUCUUGGACUAACUCCCGGUAAUAGAUAAACUUCAUGACGCCACAAGUUUGAGCCAUAUCGUGAAUGAACUUCUAGCUCCCAUGCGCUGGCUAGAAGAGACAUUUGCCAGCUCAUGUGAAGAGACAUUAUGGAUUUUGCACAUUGGUAGAACUACAAUAAGAAGGAUCGUAUGAUUAUGGGUAGGCUAACUAACUAUAACUUAAAUCAAACCUUCCGUAAUUGGUACAGGAUCCUCAUGAUAAUGCCUAGUCUAGGUAGCUACAUUGGUCAUUCAUUCCCACUUUUUAACAAAAGAGAAGAACUUCUCCAUCAGGACUAAUAGUCGAUCGUGGUGGGGUUUUACGGAACAUGUAUAGGCUAAAUAAACAUAAAUGCAGCGGAAGCAAAGAUAAAAUCAUACUACACAUUUAUCUCCAAAGACAUUGUUCGUACAUCUUAAUAAAAAAUUAAAAUAUCAAAGAGGGUUAUAUGGAUUACCUCUCAAAGCACGCUUUAAACAACUUGAUUCGGAUGUUCUUCAGUUUGAGUUCCACAAACAUUGGGCCUCUAGUUCAAACACACCACCAACACACCUCGAACGAAAAAGAGCUCGCAGGUAAUCACCAUUAUAAUUGUGCUAGCAAUCUCAUGGAGACAAUCCUCUGCACAUGGUUAGUAACUAUUUGUUAGCCAUGUAGUUCUCUCUCUCUUUCUCUAUUUUUCUUAAUAACCCACUCACCCUCUCUCUGCUCUAUAUAUAAUGUCCAGUGAAGUCAACAUUUAACUUCCUCCGGAAGCUGGUCUUUAACAUUUCAAAGAAAUUAUUGACUACUUCUUCCAUAAGCUAUUUCUUCUUGAAGUUAGUCUUUAACUUCUCAAAUAAGUUAUUGACUAAUUCCUCCCGAAACUGGGUGAGCAAGAGAAGAGCUCUUGUGAGUGGGCUGUGUCCAAUUGAGUGAAUUGGUUAUGGUGUGUGACAUCCCUAGAUUCAUUACUGAACUAGUAGUAAGACUUGCACUAUACUCCCAAGAGAAUUGAUUGUCUCGAUUAAUCUCUAGGUCCUACAAGUUAAUCUAGUAAUAUGUUAUGGCUACCCAGACAGUGUAAAUGUUUUAAGAACAUAAUGAACAUAUCAGCUCUGGUUACAGUAUAAUUCAAUCCAUCUGUCUCACUAUGUCUCGAUCGAAUAAAGACCAUUGAAUAUUUGUCAAGUCACCAAUUCGAUCAUAUGCACAAACCUAAUUGAUCUACAUUUUAUACGAGACAUAAACAGUUUAUUCUCAGUUACAACCUCGGCCAAGUAUUUCAAUGCAGUGUCACAAUUAGAUUACAUAUGACAUCUUACUGUACCUUGCAUGUAACAAGGAGACAAAUUCCAUAUUGCACACACGUGUAACUUCGUAUGUGAACGAGUUAUGACCAUCAUGUACAUAGACAGAUCAACGAGUUGCCAAUAUGCGUACCCGUGAACCAUAGCCGUCCAACAUACAAGUUAACACUGUACCUUAGGUCUAAGGAUUAUUUACACAAGACCAGAGUAUGAACGAUUAGUCAUUGAUCCCGCUAAAAACUUCCAUAUUGCCAAUCGUUCUAUAUGUGUCACGUUCAGUGAACUUAUCUGUUACAAGCACCUGUGUUCUAACUCGGGCAUCCAACACUUAAUGGUGAAGUUAAGAAUACACCAGUCUCAAUAGGAUCAUUAAUAUCCACUCAAUGAUCCAUUGACCGAGAACGGUUUAAAGAUUUAGUCUAACUGUGAACCCGUCACGCAUAUUCUUAAUGUCUCAAGAAUAAGUUCGGUCACAAUUGAUCCUAUGGAAACAUUCAUAUAGAUAAUUAGACAAAUGAAUGAAUACGUCUUUGCCAUUAAUUUGACAAUACGACUGAAAUCCUUAACAUGUAACUAUUACAUGGUUGCUUUAAGGCAUAUAACUAACAGAUCGUCCUUGUUCCACAGUGCUUUGAUUGUUGUCCUUGGUUGAUCUCAGGGUAAAGCUACGAGUAGGUGGUUGUAUCGUAGAUUGAAAUUAAAUCUCAAAUAAUUCGAAAUGUUCAUAGGAAAUUUGGGCAGGAAAAAGGAAUGAACAAUAAAAGUGUCGAGAGUCGAAAUCGAAAGAAGUGGCCACAAUCCUUAAAGCACAAGGGCUCUAGACAAGCUUUCUGAAUAAUAGUUCCGGUCCUUACACCUAUAUUUUGAUCCCUGUAAUUUUAUGUUAAUAAUUUUUUUUCUAUAAUUGCACGUUUUAAUCUCGAAAUGAGAUUAAUGAGAAAUUUUCGAAAAGAGAUUGAAAUUCCGAACCUAAGUCCAAAUUGGCCCGGACCGGACCAAAUUACAUUAGUCCAAGGCCAAUUAUUCUCCAUUCAGGGCGGACCGAAUGCCUCUCUAGUCUGCAAUUUUCCCUUAAUGGUUUUGGUGACUAUCUAGAUCUCUAGACUACUCUACAUGUCGAAAUCUUAAAUUUAGGACAAUAAACUUUUCAAAGCUAACAACAAUCCGAUGAAUAAAAUCACAAGAAGUCGAUAGAGGUGCACUCCUUUUAAAUGCUUUUGACUGUGGUUGAUCGAUCCACUUUGAAGAUUGAAUUUAUGUUCCCAUCGUCCUUCAACGGUUCUACUUCUGUUGAACAGUUAUGAUAGGCCUAAUGAUAAUUAUUCUGUCCCGAAAAUAAUUUCUGACAAGAUAUUUCUAUUUCUAUUUUUUGGACAAGUUUAUUAAUGGAGGUAUGUGUUUAAUAACAACAUAAUUUCUAUUCUUGAAACAUAAAUUCGUUUGAUAGGCAUUCUUAAAUAUCUCCAUCCGGUAGUAAUAGUUGGUAGGGGGAAGCGAGAGGUGGGGGUAGAUAGCAAGGGUUAGUGAUGAGAAGAUUUUUUAUUUUUAUUUCUAUUCCUAAAAUAGAAAAGUAGAAAGUUUUUAUUUCUCAUUUUUGUUUCAAACUUAUUUCUAGGCUAAUUUUUUUCUUGAAAAUAGAAAAAUAAAAUUGCAUUACUAAACAAAAUUUUUGUUUCAAACUUAUUACUAGAAAUAGAAAAAUAGAGAAACGGAGAAACAUAAUGGUUAUCAUUCGCACCCUUUAAAAUCUGACUUCCCCUUUGUAUAAGGUUGGGACUAUGAACGUUUACAAUGGAUCUAAUCUAUUAUAAACCGGAUUCAGACAAGUGGAUUUCUUUUCACAAAUCUUAUUGAUAAACAAAGUUUUGUAUGACAAUCUUAGAUUUUUACAACCAUACUAGUCGUUCAAAAUAAACUUUUACCGCUCAUUACCAAACAAUAAAUGAAUAUGUUGCUUUAGUAGCAGUUCAAAUAAUAACAAAAUUGUUAUGUUCAAAUUUAGAUCAAAACUCCUUGAUUAAGAUUUAAGUUCAACUUUUCCCAAGCCAGAUCAAAAUCUUCGACAUCAUUUUCCCCUCUUCACUUAUUUAAUGAGUUGAAGAUUAGUAGUGCCUUUUUUUUUUUUUUUUGGGCUAAAACAAACCUUCCAUUACAUCAAAAUAAUUCAUAUAUUGUGAGGAUAAACUAGAGCAUAAAUCAAGAUGGUAAAAUUAAAGAAGACUCCUAAUCCUAAAUUUUUAACUCUAGAAGGGAGAUCAUUAAAAACGAAAGAAGAUGCAAUUCCUAAUUGAUGAAAAGCCAAUUUUUCAAACUUAUGAGCAGCUUCAUUACUAGUUCUACCAAUUCACUUCAAACUUUAUCAUGGAUUGUUGCUAAGCAGUAAAUGGGAGUCCAAAACGAAAGGAUGAAUAUACCAAGGGCAAAGGCCCUUUUGUUGAAUAGCAUUAAUUAGUACUUUACAGUCACUUUCUGUUGGAGAAAUCUUUCUGGAAUAUUUUGAAGCUGACAAAAUGUUUCUAUCAGUCUAGUCUGAAGAUUUGUAGACUCUACUAUUAAAGUCUGAAGACCUCCGGACUACCAGACUCAAGACUCAAAGUAUAUUCUCAUUGACAGUUUCUAAUCCGUUGACGAAAGGCUAUCCAAAACUGAGUGCUUCAUUGAGGAUUUGGCCUUAUCGACUGGAGAAGAUCUCUUGGCUGGAUAUGACAUAACGGAUUCCUUUAUUCAAAUCAAGAAUGAUUAAAGAUCCGAUGAUUGGCGAAGUAUUCUUGGAAGGUUUUACUUAUGGAAACCAAGAUCCUGAUUGUAUGGGCGAGCAAGAUUGAUGGGCUAUCGACAUGUUCUUUUAAUAGCUCGAAUGAUCUUCCUAAUUGAUUCUGUCCAACGGGUGGAUUGGAAGAAUUCAUUUGGUAAGUGCCAACGGGUAUGAUGGCACAAAGGAGUAUAAAAGGAAGACGUUCCAGUUGUUCGAGGUGGUGCACGAUAGAAGAAUUCCAUAGUCUGAAGCUCUUUGAUUCUUAGUCAAUUCAUUUACUAAGCAAAAUCUUGUACGCAAAAGAGAGUCUAUAUUUUGAGAUACCUUGAGAAAGUGUGGUAGAGUAUCUACAUUGUGGAAUCAAGGGAAAGCAUUGCUGUAACAUCUCUUUUGUUCAUAGUGAAAUCCAGCCGGUGGGCUGUCAGUGCAGAAGAGUGGACGUAGGCUUGGAAUAAGCCGAACCACUAUAAACCUUGUGUUCAAUUUUCUCUUCCCUACUCCCUGCUUUACUUUGAUCAUAGUUCAUUUUGUUAACUAAAUGAGAGCUUCCUUUCUAUUGUUUGCAUAGUAUUGCUUUCAUAUCUCGAGAAAUUAUUUCUACACCUAUUCACCCCCCUCUAGGUGCUUAUACUAGCUAUAUCAAUUGGUAUCAGAGCCUGUGUACUCACUUUAUUUGAAGUAUUUUUACUUCAGAGUUAAAGAUCCAUGGCUAGUGUGCUAGCUCCAGGGCUGGUGGAAGGGCAAAGUAAUAUCAGACCACCUUACUUUGAUGGAAAUGAUUACAACAUCUGGAAAAACAAGAUGAAAGCGUUCCUACGAUCAAAGGAUCCUAUGGAAUGGGACGUUGUAGAAAAAGGAAUCACUCCUAAAGCUGCAUCUGUCUCAGAGAGAGGAAAAGAAACUGUUGAGUCAAGUGAAAUGACUCAGGAAGAGAUAAUCAAGAGACAAGCUCUUGAUGCAAAAGCAAUUUAUUCUUUAUAUUGUGCUUUGUCACCUACUGAAUAUAACAGAAUAUCUUCUUGUGUUACAGUAAAAGAAGUCUGGGAUAGAUUACAUAUCACCUAUGAAGGAACUGAUCAAGUGAAAGAGACCAAAAUCAACAUUCUCCUCGGUCAAUAUGAAGCAUUCAAAAUGAAAUUAGGAGAAUCUAUAACUGACAUGUUUAGUCGUUUUACAGAAAUCGUGAAUGGUCUUGAAAAUCAAAGUCAACCAAUUUCUGAUCCCAUGAAGGUAAACAAGCUACUGCGUGGACUCUCCAAGGAUUGGAAUCACAUAAAUACCUCAAUAAGAGAGAAAAAAAAAUCAUGCCACUAUCUGUCGAUGAGUUGGUUGGAACUCUUCAGUCUUAUGAAGUGGAACGAAUCAAUGAAGACGAAGAUCCUAAAGGUAAGAAAUCCAUUGCAUUAAAAUCCAAUGAUGAUUCUGAUGUCACAGAUUCUGAAGAUGAUAUGGACGAUGAGGAGCUUGCUCUCAUGAUAAGAAGAUUUAGAAAGCUGAACAGAAAAGGAAGAAGAUUCAAUCCAAAGAAACAGAGUUUUCAAAAGCAACAGACCAAGUCUGUUGAUGAUGAUGAAUCAAACAAAGAUGUAGUCUGCUUUGAAUGUAAGAAAAAUGGACACAUCAGACCCAACUGUCCUCUUCUGAGAAAGAAGAAAGGAAAAGCUGAAAAGAAUCGAAAGGCUCUUAAAGCAAAAACUUGGAGUGAUACAGAGUGUGAAGAAAGUGAUGAUGAUUAUGCCAAUAUAUGUCUGAUGGCACAAUCGGAUUCAGAUUCAAACUCCGAGACAGACUCAGAUUCAGACAGUGAAUUUGAGGUAAGUAACUUUAAAAUCCCUGUUAAAGUUUCUAAAUACAUUGAUGAGCUGUGUUUUAGUCUUAAGAUUUCUCUUAAAAGGAUUUCCGAACUUAAAAAGGAAAACUCUACACUAAAACAACAGGAAAAUGUUUUGAAAGAAAAGUUGAAAUGUUUAGACAUGAAUGUUUCUACUCUUAAAGAAAGCGAAGAUAAUCUCUUGAAAGAAAAUUCCUUUUUAAAAAAAAUGACUUAUCAAAUAUUUCAAAAAGAUUUUCAAUAGGAUCUGAGAAACUUGAGAAAAUUCUUUCUGCACAAAGACCUUAUUUCAAUAAAUCUGGUUUAGGAAUGACAGCAGAAACCAUUCCUUUAAUUGAUUUUCCUAAAGUGAAGGAAAGAAUUAAGUAAAGACCUACAAGAGAUGCUUACAAAAAUCAUUUCAAAAAGGUUUUUGUAAAACCAGUAGGUCGAAAUGCUCUCAGAUGUUCAAAGUGCAAUAGUGCAGAUCAUUUUGAAAAAGAGUGUCCUAUGGUUUGGAAACCUGUUAAGAAAGUAUGGGCAAAAACCGCAUAUCAUACUAACACCAAUGGACCCAAGAAAAUAUGGGUACCAAAGAAAGCUUAAGUCUUUUUAAAUGCAGGUCAUUAUCAAGAAAAAGGUAAAAUGGUAUCUGGAUAGUGGAUGCUCAAGACAUAUGACAGGAGAUUCAAAUUGCUUCAUAAAACUCGUUCAAGUAAAUGGUGGAAAAGUCUCAUUUGGAGGAAAAAGCAAAGGAAGAAUUAUGGGAUUUGGAACUGUAAAGAUUGGAAACUUUACAAUAAGCAAUGUUUCCCUAGUGGAAGGACUCAAUUACAAUCUGCUCAGUAUCAGUCAACUGUGUAAUACUGGUUUCAAAAUCAACUUUCAAGAGGGAAUAUGUUCAGGAACCAGUAAAGAUUCUACUCAGUCAUUCAUGGGCCGAAGACAUGGAAAUAUCUACCUCUUGGAUGUGAAACCAGAUGAAUCGCAAUGUCUAAUCUCAAUUCAAGAUGAAGCGAGCUUAUGGCACAGAAAGCUUGGGCACAUCAAUAUGAAGCAGAUAGCCAAAAAUUCAGCAAAGAAGCUUGUUCGUGGUACCCAAUUUAUCAUACCAAAAGUCUGAUCUAUGUACACCAUGCGUAUUGGGAAAGCAGGUAAGAAAUUUCUUUAAACCAAUAAAUCAAGUUUCCACUAAUCAUGUACUGCUGUUUUUGCAUAUGGAUCUCUUCGGACCAACCAGAACUCAGAGCAUUGGAGGUAAGAAAUAUUGCCUAGUAAUUGUGGAUGACUACUCACGAUUUACUUGGGUAUAUUUCCUGGCAAGUAAGUCUGAAACAUUCUCUUACUUUGAAAAGUUUGCUAAAAAGGUUCAAAAUGAAAAAUGGUAUGUUAUCUCGAGUAUAAGAAUAGACCAUGGAGGUGAAUUUGAAAAUCAAGAUUUUACAAGAUUCUGUGAUGAAUCUGGUUUUCAGCAUGUGUUCUCCUCUCCAUAUACUCCAAAGCAAAAUUGAGUUGUGGAAAGAAAGAAUAGAUCGUUUCAAGAAAUGGCUAGAACUCUUUUAAUUGAAAGUAACAUCUCUUCACGAUUUUGGGCUGAAGCAGUUUCAACAGCAUGUUAUAUUAUCAAUAGAGUUUUUCUAAGGCCUAUUCUGGAAAAAACCCCCUAUGAGUUAUUCAAAGGAAAGAAGCCUAUUGUUUCAUAUUUUCAUGUGUUCGGAUGCAAAUACUUUAUAUUGAAAAAUGCAAAUGAUAGAGUUGGUAAGUUUGAAGAAAAAUCAGACGAAGGCAUCUUCUUGGAUAUUCUACCUCAAACAAAGCCUACAGAGUCUAUAACAAGAAGAGUCAAUCUGUGGAGGAAUCAAUGAAUGUCAAAUUCCAGGAUUCUAUGCAAAAUGAAUAUGUUCAGACUCAUCUUGAAGAAUCUAAACCUGCUCUAGACUCUACAAAGUCUAAAUCUCAAGAAGCAGCUCAGACUCUGAAAGACCAGCAACAAAUGGUUAUUAUAGAUUCAAAUGAAGGAAGUAAUCAUCAACCUGACAAAUCAAUCAGUAACUAGAAGCAUAAGUCCAAUCAUCCCAAAGAUCUCAUUAUUGGCGACAUUAAUGAAGGAAUUCGCACAAGAUCCAAAAGGCGCGAAGAGUCUAGUACUAUGGCUCUUAUUUUUGAAAUAGAACCAAAAAGCAUAGAAGAAACUUUAUCUGAUGAAAGCUGGAUUGAAGCUAUGCAAGAAGAACUCAGACAAUUCAGUAUUAAUGAUGUCUGGGAGUUGACUCCUAAACCAAAAGGUAAAUCUAUUAUUGGAGCUAAAUGGGUUUUCAGGAACAAAAUGAACGAAAAAGGAAAAGUCGUAAGAAACAAAGCAAGACUCGUGGCCAAGGGAUAUACGCAAGAAGAAGGGAUAGACUAUGAUGAGACUUACGCACCAGUAGCAAGGUUAGAAGCAAUUCAAUUAUUACUUGCUUUUGCUUGUUAUAAUAAUUUCAGGUUAUUCCAAAUGGACGUCAAAAGUGCUUUCCCGAAUGGAUUUAUCCAUGAGGAAGUUUAUGUGGAACAACCGCCUAGGUUUGAAGACCCAAGGAAGCCAGACUCAGUAUUCGGACUGAAAAAAGCCUUGUAUGGUUUAAAGCAAGCACUUCGAGCUUGGUACGACAGGCUGAGUAAGUUCUUAAUUCAAAAUGGCUUUGUAAAAGGUAAAGUAGACACUACUCUGUUUAUCAAAAGAGAAAGCAAAAGUUUUCUGCUUGUUCAAAUAUAUGUUGAUGAUAUUAUUUUUGGAUCCUCUAAUGAAAGUUUGUGCAAGAAAUUCUCUAAGUCUAUUCAGGAUGAAUUUGAAAUGAGCAUGAUGGGUGAACUAACCUUCUUUCUUGGACUUCAAGUGAAACAAUUGAAGGAAUGGACUUUUAUUCAUCAAGAAAAAUAUGCUGAUGAUCUUGUCAAAAAGUUUGGACUGGAAAAUUGCAAAAGGACUGAUAUACCAAUGUCAAGUUCCUUGAAGAUAGACAAAGAUGAAGGAGGAAAGAAAGUUGACCAGAAGCUAUACAGGAGUAUCAUCGGUUCACUUCUUUAUCUUACUGCUUCUAGACCUGACAUUUUGUUUAGUGUUUGCAUUUGUGCUAGAUUUCAAGCAGACCCUAAAGAAUCUCAUCUAAGUGCUGCAAAGCGUAUUAUCAAAUACAUUGCUUCAACUUCAAGCAUCGGCCUUUGGUAUCCUAAAAAGGGAGACUUUACUCUUCUUGGAUACUCAGACGCAGAUCUAGCCGGUUGCAGAGUUGAUAGAAAGAGCACCUCGGGUACCUGUCAGUUAUUUGGAAGCAAGACAGUGUCUUGGUUUUCAAGGAAGCAAAAUACAAUAGCUCUUUCUACAGCAGAGGCAGAGUAUGUAGCUCUCGGAAGUUGUUGUUCACAAAUUAUGUGGAUAAAACAACAGCUAAGAGACUUUGGAAUUGAAGAUUCAUGCACGGAGAUUAACUAUGACAACACCAAUGCAAUCAAUCUUACCAAAAAUCCAUUUCGUCACUCAAGAGCAAAGCAUAUAGAGAUUUGACAUCACUUCAUUAGAGAUCAUGUUCAAAAUGGAGAAGUUUCGAUUUAGUUUGUUGACUCAAAGAACCAACUGGCGGAUAUAUUUACAAAGCCUUUGGAGAAAAAUCAAUUUGAAAUCAUUCGUUCCAGACUCAACAUCUUGAAGCUUGAAGAAGUUAAAGUCUAGAGACUCUCAGACUCAGAUAAUCAUGGUUCUUGAUUGUAAGUUAUUUUAUUUUCUCUUAUAUUAAAUCUCGUAAAGGUACGAUCAUUUAUCUAUUUAUAAUUGAUUUAUGCUAUCUUUAAUUUCCGUGAAAAGUGCAAUUUUUCAUUUUCAAAAAGAGUUAAUGGCAGUUAUCUAUUUUUGAAAAAUGCAGUUUUUUUUAAAGGCGUCUUUUAACCUUCCUUUACGACGUUUAGCAUUCCCCCGUUUCGACUGAGCUAUAUACAGUCGGUUCCUCUUCACUUAACUCCAAAACCCUAAAAAGCAUCGAUCUUCCAUUCCUGUCUUCCUCCAUUAUUUAAUCUUCAAAAAAGUUGUCAUCUUUCUUGGGAAAGUCAAGCAAGGAAUCUUUCAAAGACUGAGAAAGAUGUCGUCUUCAAGAAAGUCUUCGAGGAUCGCAAGCAGGGGACCACGGCGAAUGAGUGAGGGGCCUACUCACUUUGAUCUCACCGAGGAAGAUGAGUCACCAAGUCAGCAGCAGAGCUCACAACAUUCUCAGCAGCGUCAUUCUCCACCAACUAGUCCACAGGGUGCUGGUCAUCAACAAGAGGAAGAAAUCGUUGAAGACGCAGAUCCUAAUCAAUGGAACGACAGGAGAAAGAAGCAGAGGAGAGAGAAGGACAGGAGAAAGAAGAAGAAGAGACGGAAGCAGAGGAGCAAGAAGCAGAGGAGAAGGAAGAAGAGGAGAGAGAAGCUGAAGAAAGAGAAGCAGAGGAGGAAAGGUUUGAAGAAGAAGAAGGAAGAGAAAAUCAAGAGGAAGGAGAGCAUGAGGAACACUCUUCUCCACCUGAAACCAUGGAAAUAGGGGGAGAUGGUGAGAAAAGAGGAAUGUCCUCAUAUCUUGUUAACAGUGAAGGAGUCAGUCGCUUUCUAGCAGAUCCAGAGGACAUCCAUGCCUCUCAAUUUCCUGAGGAGGGACAUGAUGCUUCAUCGCCAAAUCUACAUGAUUAUGCUGAUAUACCAUCGCUUGCCUUUACUCCAUUAGAUCGUGCCGAAGCCAGUACGCAGACUAAUAACUCAGCAGAUUUUUGCAGAAUCAUUAAUGUUCUCUUGGAAAUACGGGGUUAGAUAUAUGCUUUAGAAUGCGAAGUUCAGAACUUGAAGAAUGUAGGACAAGCUUCUUCUGUUUCCUUAUCUGAUCAAAUCCAAGCCCUUGCUCUUCAGAUUCAAGCCAAUGCUAAAGGUGAAGAGGUGGAUCAAUUGAAGGAAGAAUUGAAAAAGCUGGAAGGCAUCAUCCAGUCCAUGGGAUAUUUCUAGCUUGUUCGCGUUCCUAAGCAAAUUUGACUCCAUUCUAUUCCCAUCUCAACCUUUUUUUUUAUGACAAAAAGGGGGAGAGAUGCGAGAUUUGAAAUCUUUGAACUUUGAACUUAAACUUGUUGAAUUUUUAGUUUGUUUUGAUGUUUGACUUGUGUGUCUUUGUCUGGAUGUGGACUGACUGAAUGUGGAUUUGGAUUUGAUUGCUGCUUAUAUUAAGAACUAUUGAUAUCUUAUGAAUGGCUUUACUCUCAUGCAAGACUAACCUAUUUUCUGUGGUUGCAGAUUCUAGUGUUAUCAUUAAGCCAUUAAUCUUUAUGAGAUAUCCAUAUUUGCUUGAGUAAUGUUUUGCAGGUCAAAGUUAUUCAAAUCUACAUGAAAGUUUUGUCACAAUCAAAAAUGGGGAGAUUGUUGGAGAAAUCUUUCUGGAAUAUUUUGAAGCUGACAAAAUGUUUCUAUCAGUCUAGUCUGAAGAUUUGCAAACUCUACUAUUAAAGUCUGAAGACCUCCGGACUACCAGACUCAAGACUCAAAGUCUAUUCUCAUUGACAGUUUCUAAUCCGUUGAUGAAAGGCUAUCCAGAACUGAGUGCUUCAUUGAGGAUUUGGCCAUAUCGACUGAAGAAAAUCUCUUGGCUGGAUAUGACAUAACGGAUUCCUUUAUUCAAAUCAAGAAUGAUUAAAGAUUCGAUGAUUGGCGAAGUAUUCUUGGAAGGUUCUACUUAUGGAAACCAAGAUCCUGAUUGUAUGGGCGAGCAGGAUUGAUGGGCUAUCGACAUGUUCCUUUAAUAGCUCGAAUGAUCUUCCUAAUUGAUUCUGUCCAACGGGAGGAUUGGAAGAAUUCAUUUGGUAAGUGCCAACGGGUAUGAUGGCACAAAGGAGUAUAAAAGGAAGACGUUCCAGUUGUUCGAGGUGGUGCACGAUAGAAGAAUUCCAAAGUCUGAAGCUCUUUGAUUCUUAGUCAAUUCAUUUACUAAGCGAAAUCUUGUACGCAAAAGUGAGUCUAUAUUUUGAGAUACCUUGAGAAAGUGUGGUAAAGUAUCUACAUUGUGGAAUCAAGGGAAAGCAUUGCUGUAACAUCUCUUUUGUUCAUAAUGAAAUCCAGCCGGUGGGCUGUCAGUGCAGAAGAGUGGACGUAGGCUUGGAAUAAGCCGAACCACUAUAAACCUUAUGUUCAAUUUUCUCUUCCCUACUCCCUGCUUUAUUUUGAUCAUAGUUCGUUUUGUUAACUAAAUGAGAGCUUCCUUUCUAUUGUUUGCCUAGUAUUGCUUUCAUAUCUCGAGAAAUUAUUUCUACACCUAUUCACCCCCCUCUAGGUGCUUAUACUAGCUAUAUCACUUUCAAACACCACCUUGUGGAUGCCGAGGGACUAAGCAGCUUUGCACUUGAGAAGAAGAGCUACAGCUUCCACUUCCACUGGUGAGUUCCAUCUUCCUUGUCUUGUCCAUGCUUGGACAACUAAGCCUCGAUCUGAUCAUGCAAUAAUACCUAUGGCCCAUUUAUGUCUUUCCACACACCAUCUACAUUAAAUUUCAACUCUUCAUUUGAUGGAGGAAUCCAAGAGUUUGUCCUUACCCCAAAAGAAUCUAACUCCUCGCUUAACUUAACUUUGUUCUCUCUCUUGAACAUAUUUGAAUAUUCCAAGAAAUCUUGUAUGACCAUCUAAAUCGCUUUGGGAGAAACUGGAGUUGUAUGAUCAUCUAACUUUGUUUUCCUAUAGCACCACAUUCUAGUGCAGAGAAUUGCUACGUAAAGAGUGAAGAGUUUGCAAUCUAAUCCCAUUUUAUAUACUAUUUUUCCUAGAUUAAGAAAGUGGUUCACCAUCUCUUUUGAAAAGUUGAAGUUCCAAGCAAAUGAGACAAUACCCCAUGGGCUUUAUCUCCACAAAAUUUGGGCUAGAGGACAUGAUGUAAAAAUGUACCGAAUUCUCCUUCGAAGCUCCACAUAACGAGCAAGAAGGGUAUGGGAUAUGGAUCAAUCAAAACAAAUUAGCUUGACAAGGUAAGACAUCGGUUGCUAUCCUCCACAACAUCAUUUUGUGCCGCUCAUGAGCUCUAGCUUUCUAGAUUUUGUUCCAAAUCACGCCGUUGUUGCCAUUUUUAGUUCAUGAUUUAUGAGUUUGUAAGCAGAUUUAACAUAAAAUAAUCCAUUGAUAGUUGGAUGCCAAAUUGAUUUGUCGACCCAAAUGGAGUUUGGCACACGGAUCUGAAGAAUGGGUUGGGCUAAGGUUAGGCAAAAAGUCUGAUUUAGACUUAAUACAUCCCAGGUUUCUGUCCCUAGGAUAAAGAAGCUUUCUAUCUUUCUUUGCUUCAAGAUAGGGUCUGGAUCAAUAAAAUAAGGCAAAUGAGAUGAAACAUUAGGAGUCCAAAGGGUGAUUUCCUACCUCGAUUGAUUUUCCAUCCCUUACUUGAUAAAAAGUUCACAGUUUGAGUAUUUGCAUCCGAGAUUGCCUUCCACAAAGGAGAGGGUGAUGCCUCGACCUCAUGACUCCAGGAAUUGAAGCUUCAGAGAUACUUCCCUCCAAGAACUCUAACUAAUAGCUUGCUUCUAUCUUGGACCAUUCCCCAACUGAGCUUUAAAAGUACAAUGUUGUUGAAAUCCCUAUUAUGCUGAAAACUCAUUCCUCCACUCUUCUUGUUUCUACAUCGUGAAUCCCUAUAUUUAGGUGUAAAGUAUCUAUUUUUCUCUGUUGGCACACCCCACUAGAAUUUUCUUAUAGAGGUGUUGAGUCUAUCACAAGUGCUACAAGGCAGUUGACCAUAUUGCAUAGCAUAGAUUGGCGCAUUCAGAACAAUCGACCAAAUGUUUGUUGCUCUACUUGCCCAAGAUAGUGUCUUCCUUUUUCAGGUGCUAAGUUUGUUAUCAACCUUAUGUUCAAGGAAUUGAUAUUUUGCCCUACCUUUUCUUGGUUGAAGAGGGAAUUUUCAAGAUACAGUGCUUCAAGAUCCGCUUUCACAUGUGGAGCUCAUCCAUACAAAACUUUUUCACGCCUAGAAAAGUACCUUUAGAAAAAAAGACAGACGGCUUCUGAUGAUUCAAGCUUUGACCUGACCACAAGCAAUAAAUUUCAAUGUGUUGGAGAAAACUCCUUUACUAUUUUGAAGAUUGACAAAACCUUUCCAAAGUCUAGUUUAAAGACUUCCAGACUUUAGUGUCAAAGUUUGAAGACUGCCAGAUUCUAGGUUCAAAGUCUGCCCACAUUAACAGUUUCUAGACUGAAGAAUAAAGACUUAUCCAGAUGCGAGAUUAUCUUUAUUUCUUCAAGGAUUCGAUUCAUAUGGUUUAUGGAUAACUUUAUGACUGGUUUUAGCACCUACAUGAUUGAUUAUCCUUAUUAGAAUCAAUUCCGAUAUUCAAAUCUUUUGGAAUGCGAGUAAACUUGGAAGGUUCUACUUAUGGAAACCAAGAUCCUGAUUGUAUGGGUGAACAUGAUUGAUGGGCUUUCUUCACAAAUUAUCAAAUGACUUGAGAUUUCCUUGAUUGAUUCUGUCCAACGGGUAGAUUGGAAGAAUUCUUUUGAAAAGUGCCAAUGGUCGAGAAGGCAUGAAUGAGUAUUUAAGGCAAACUCUCCAGUUGUUCGAGAGUGUGUGUGAAAGAAAAAUUUUAAAGUCUAAAGCUUCCUAAUUCCUUGUUAUUUCAUUCACUAAGCUCAAAGUUGUAUACAAAAGAGAGAAACUCAUAGUGAGACUUUGUGAGAAACCAGUAGAGAUUCUUUAUUAAAAAGUCGAGUUCAUCAAAUUGUAAAAUCUCUUUUGAUUUUAGUAGAAUUCAGCUAGUGGGCUGUUAGCAUGGGAGAGUGGACGUAAGCUUGAUUUAAGCCGAACAAUUAUAAAUCUUAUGUUCUUAUUCUCUUCCCUAAACUCUUUUAUUUUGAUUCAUAGCUCUAAUUAAUUGUUUAAGUUUAAACUUCUUUGGUUCCGUUUGGUUUGGUUUUGGGCAAAUGUCAUUGGGAAAAUGUAAAUACCUUUGAGCUAAAGGGGUUUAUGAAAAUGCAAAUAGCAUUUGGUAAAUUAUAGUUUUAAAGUGCAUUGUGAAACGACUUUAGCUUAAACACAAUUUAGUAAAAACUACAUUUUGUAAAGGAUUUUUGCUAAGUUUUAUAUAUAAAAAAAGUUUUUAAUUUUUUUUUUAAUGUAGCCAUCGGCGGCCAAUGUCCAGCAGCUAGAUCUGGCCACCGGAUAGCCUCGCCUGAGGUCACCUGGGGUCGCAACUUAAGUGGUCGUCUAGGUUGGCGACCUUAGGUGGUGGUUGCCUGGGUUCAUUCAAUUCACGCAACGGUCACAAGUUGCUAUCAGACCUCAAGCAAUGCCUGGGGUUUGCAACCCAGGUUGUUGUUGCUUGGGUCGUGAACCCUAGGCGCCAUCGCCUGGGUCACGUAGUCAUCGCUUGGGUUGCGUGACUCAGGCAUCGCCUGAGGUUCGGCGACCUCAAGCCACCGUUGCCAAGGUCGCACGAACCUAGGCGACCAUGGCUUGAGGUCGCACAACCUCAGGCGACAGUCAUCGAGUGGCCGCAACCCCCAAGCGGUGGUCACCGGGGUUGAGUGACACCUCAGGCGACGGUCACCAACACAGGCAACUCCUUGGCUAGCAGUUGUCGGCCUCUGUUUGUUUAUUCGAAGAAGAUGAACAGUACCAUGGGACUUGCAUUCCGAAGAUGCAAAUUCCCAAAGUACCUCAAGAGCUUACAUUAGGCUAAAGGCUUUUAGAGUCAUUUGGAGAUGUGAUUGCAUCUUGACAAAGUCGUCCAAAAAAUUAAACCAAACAUAUUUGCAUUUGGCCAAACCCCUUUAAAGCCCAAAAGUCCCUUUCAAAUGCCGAACCAAACGGGCCUUUAUUUUAUUUAAAUUUUUUAUCUAAUCGUUAAAGUCUGAAUUCAUCUGUGAUUUUCUAAAGUCAAAUUAUCUCUUUUGAACUUUGCAAAGAUUUUUGUUCACACCUAUUCACCCCCCUCUAAGUGUUAUUACUAGCCCUUUCACAAUGUAUUCCUUCAAUCCUUUCAGUUGAUGCUCAAUGGUUUUGACAAAUAACAAGAGAUCAUCAGCAUACAUAAGGUGAGUUAAAGGCGAACACUUUUGCCCUACUCUUAUACCUACAAUAAUCUUCAAAUCCUUUGCUCUAAAUAGGAUUCUAGAAAGAAGUUUAGUAUAAAUCAUAAAUAGGUAUGGCAAGAUAGGGUCAUUUUGUUGGAGUCCCUUUUGAGAUUUAAAACUUCCCAUAGGUUUAUCAUUGAUGAGAAGAGAAUAAUGAACUGACGAAUACAUAUUUUUAUGAGCCUGCAAAAAAGGACCUAGAACCCUAGGCUACAAAAGCAUUCCUGUCAACUCUAUCAUAAGCUUGUGACAUAUCCACCUUAACUCUCAUGAAUGGAUGCCCCUUUCUUUUCUUUCUCAUGGAGUGUACAAUUUCCUAUCUCAUGGAGUGUACAAUUUCCUAUGCAAUUACAGAAUUUUCUUAUAUGCUUCUACCCAGAAGAUAAUAUGACUGAGGAACCCUCAGUCUAUUUGCCAACAUCUUAGAGAUAAGUUUAUAGCGCACACUGCAAAGACUUAUGGGCCAAAACUGGUUAUAGGUGCGUGCAUUCUGAGUUUUUGGGAUGAGUGCUAUGAAAGCAUGGUUGAGAAGAUAGGGCAAUUGACUUUUUUUAAAAGAAAUGCUACACAAAUUGUACAAUCUGGGCCUUCACCACUUCCCAACGUUUCAUGUAGAAAAUGGCAUGGAAUCCGUCUGGGCCAAGUGAUUAAAGAGGGGCCAUCUCUUUCAUGAUGUCGGCGACACAUUUGAUCAAUUCCUUUGACUUUUGCAUACCGCAACCGCAUCCAAGGAUUUGACCAUUAAAAUUCGAUGGCCAUUUCUAAGAGUUUGCUGAGCAUCCAAGAAUAGGACCUAUGUGUGUAAAGCAUGAUAAAAUGCAUCGAGAAAUGAUGCUCUGGAAAUGAUGAAUUGGUCUCUCGAGAGACCAGAAACAAUUCUUAAUUUAUUUGCGAAUAAAACGAGCAUUCUGAUUUUUAUUUUCUCAAUAGAAAUGACGGAAUCGUUGCUGAAUAUACAAUUCUUUGUUUGACGACUCUACGAGAACUAUGAAAUGAAAUGGAAGUUGUUGGGUACUAUGUUUGACUAUCCUCCUUUUGUGUAUAUCUUAAAUUGUAAUUGAGGAAUUAUGCUAGUAGCUAAAAAGAUGCUGAAAGAACAUUUGCACGAUUUUAUAGAAAAGAAGAAGAAGAAGAAGAAGAAGAUUAGUCCUUCACUAGAUUGCUUGGCAAACAACGAGAUACCACCCCCUCCCCCAAAAAAAAAGAAUUUCCACAUUUAACUAUGGUCCUUUCAUUAUUCUCUUCUAAUUUCAAAUUAAUUUGAUUUAGGAAUUGAUUAAAUUAAUUGUAUUCUUCAUUAACUAUAUGCUGAGUGAGAUAACGUCAUAUUUAAUUAAGUUGGUCAUAGAAAAUGAAAUUCAUAACCGUGAUACCCGAAGAAGAAAAAAGAGGCAAAGAGAAGCGGUAAAUUCAACUCGAAUGCAAGGGUAUUUUGGGAAUUUUAUAUUUCGGCCACGCAGUUCUUGAUCGAGGCUUUCUUCUCAAUUUGAGGGCGACGGCCUCUUGGCGGGCCCCACUCGUUUUAUUCACCCCCCUAAUCUUAACUUAUCUUUCCUAUAGGCCCUUCCAAACAUGGGUAUUUGAACUUCUCUCCCCCCUUAUUCUCUUUCACUCCUCAUUCUUUCCCCAAACUUUUUGGCCUUUCCAAACAUAGGCUUAGAAAUCGAAAAAUAAAAAUAAAAAACAUAGGCUUAGAUAUAUAGAGUAGAAGUGUUUUCAAAUUAACCCAGAUGCAAUUAUGAGAUUAAUCAACACCCUUGUCGAGUGUUUUUAUCCUAGUGUUUGUUAGUAGGCUACUCAAUAGUAAAUAAAAAAAAAUGAACACAAAAUGUACAAGUUCCCCCUCUUGAUACGUGCUAACUUUGCUGUGCAAAAACCUCGAUUCCUAGAGGUGGGAUCAUGUUCCCACGUUAGGAUUCUUCCUCCCCUUGAUGCAGAUUAUAAUAGAACACAAUUCUGAGAUUCGUUCAAACUCUUGUUAGGUGCUUUAAUCCCAAUACCUAUUAAUAGUUACUUGGUCAAAUCUUAUAUAUUUGUGAAAAGUAAUUUCAAACAAAGGAGUUCAACUUGUACACCAUCUGUCAAAGACUUGUUUGGUCAAAACUUCACUUUUAGAUUCUUCCUUUUUUACAAUUGUCGUAAUUUUAGUUUUCUGUUGAACUCAAACGGUUUAACACAUAUAAAUACUGAUAUGCAUAUUCAUAUAUAAUUUCUACAUAAUUUUCUAGACAUAAUUACUCUCUUAAUUUUGGAGGCAAGAUUUGACUUUGUCUCGCCUAACGGCAACUGAACAAGAUAACCUUUUAGAGGGAAUCUUGAGUAGUUCAUCGUUUGAGCAGGAAAUAUUCAACAAAAAAAAUAAAAUCCACUAUUCGUUUUGAUCCAGCGCAUCAAUUGAUUUAACCCCCAAAAAAAAAGGAAAAGAAAAAGUUCGGCUAUAUGAAUAUACUAGUCGUUCAAGACUUGACUUAAAGAAAGUCGUCGGUUCACUUGCUAAACUUUUUCUGCAAAGUGAUUUAUAUAUUUUUAAUGUGUCGAAAACUUAGACAGGAGAAGGAUGAGACUGGGGAGUCAUUGGCCUUCUUUUUCUUCACGAGUUAUCUAGGAAGAAAUCUAUUGGACAAGAUGGAGAAAUUAGAUCUAGAAUGUGUUGAAUCCAGUGCAUCUAGAGGAGAUAUUACCAAUUUCAUAUUGAUUUGAACCAAAAAAAAAAAAAAAACGAAAAAGGGGUUAGAAAAAAUCUAGUCAUUCUCUCACUUGAUCUUACAAGCAUGUUUGAUGAAAUAAUCUUUGUAUGAAAUGAGAAAAAAAAAAAACAAAUAAAGUGUGUCAAGCUUAACGGCUCAAGGAAAGAAAAAGGUUGUUGGCCUUUUUUUCACUGGCUCAAGGGAUCUAUUAUAAAAAUGAUUGGUAUCACUCAAAAUCCUAAACUACCGUCUAAUUCACUCUAAAGUAUGUCCAAUACAAUAUCAAUAUCCCAAAAAUUUUCACACCCUUUAUGCUUGGGGUUUGGUGACAUGGAAAAGAUGUUUUGGAUAUUAAUAUUGCAGUGGCCAAAUCAUUUUGCGCCAUCAAAUAUUCUUAAUUAUAAUUCUUUUCUAUUGCUAGAAUUCUUAAAUUAUAUCUACUAUGAUAUUAAUGCCAUAACUUUUUGCAUUUUCCACAUGUUUGGGGUAUGGGCCAUACAAAAAAAAAAUUGUGAGGCAUUGGUGAUAAAGUGGCUGAAGUUUUGAAGUAUUUUGAAGUAGAUAGAUGGUACUUUAGCCAUAAUGGUAUAAAAUUAGAGGUUUUGGCUGCAAAAAAAAAAAAGGGUUCGAGAUAUUUUUGUGUGACAGCAAGGCACGACUUAAAAGAUUUUUCGUGAUAUUUCCCGGUCAAAGUUACGAAUGAUUAGAAACACUGACGACAAAUAUGCAAAUCUCUAAAAAUAAAAAAAUAAAAAAAUAGAGGGGCAUUUUGGCAUCCCUGAUCACAUCACAACCCUCCAUCCACGCAAGUCGUGCGGUGUAUAGCUGCAAACCCAUUAAAAAAAAAAAAAAAAAAAAGGUAACUGGGGGAGACGCACGCGCCAGGCGGCAGCGCGUGGGGAGGCGGAGCUGGGGGGCAAACAGCCCGGACGUCGCGACGCGCGGCCCGGCCCGGCCCGGCCCGCGAACUCGAUAUCUCGGACAACUCGGGCUCUCUCUCUCUCUAUGUAUAUCUGUCUUUCUGUCUCUGCUGUGCUGACCGUAGUUACGUCGCAUCCUCUCGACGCUCCGUUCGGGGCGGCAGCAGGGAGAGAGAAAGAGAGAGGAUAAAAUUAGAGAAAUGAGAAUAAAGAAUGGAACUUUUAUUAUUAUUUAUCAUUAAAUUGCAGAGGGUUCAUUAAUCGAAAGCAAUCGGUUGAUUCAAAGGAAAUGGUUGGUGGUCUUUUUUGCGGUACGAAAAGCAAAAGCAAAAGCUGAGGAAGCCCCCACACAGCCAGCCAUACGGAUGAGCACGUUGGACCGCUCAAAUCGAUUAUCACUCGGAUCGAAUCAGACCAACGGGUUUGAUCUUGUUCUCGGAGGAAUCGGUUUGGUUUCUGAUUUCAGAAAAAUAGCAUCAGUAGUUGUCGGUCCAAUUUUCGGUUCCAAAAAAAAACCGAAUCGGACUUGACCGACUUUUUUUUUAUAAAUAUUUUUACAUUUCUUUAAAAUAGCAAUAAACCAUUAAAAUAAUAACAACUCUAGUAUCUUUUAGUUUUUUUUAAUUUUUUUAAGUAAUUGGUUCCAUAGGAUCGGAGUAAACUAGACUAGAUCGAUCGGUCCAAUUUGGUUCCUAGUCCUAGGAUUGUCCAAUAGAGUCCCUAGUCCCAAAAAUUGGGAAUUGGUCCUUUUGAUCCAAUUCCUAGUUUGUAGGUGGAAUCAUGCUAGAUUGAAAAUCAAUCAUCUCUAACCAAUUGCCCACCUCCCCACCCAUUUAGAUUGAAUAUUAGUAUGGUAAUUAGUGUUGCAAUUUGCAUUCCCUCCUUGGGUGCUCAUGGUCCCUUCUUCUUACCCUAGCAUCCGAUGAUUUCCAAUACCUUUUCUUUUCUUUUCUUUUCUUUUUGUCCUUUUGCAUUCGGCUAAUCCUUAUCGAAUGUUGUGGAUCCACUUGUUGUCACAUGCCCGAAGAUUAUUGAAAUGCGCAUAUUGAUAUCACGACAUUCUUGUUGUUUGUUUUGGCAAUCCUAUAAGGAGCCUUGCAAGUCCUUUGACAUAGGGGUGGGUCAUAUUUCCAAGAGGUUGCCCACCCUGAUAGUACUUCCACCUAAGCAUGCUUAAAUAUUGUAGUUCCAAUUCUAAACUUGCUGUCAUGUCAAAGCGCAUUUCGUGAGUUAAUUUCAAUUUUACACACACACACAUCCCUUAAACACCUUUCUGCAUCGUAGAAGCUUGCCAAGAACUGCUUCUUAUCCAGUCCCUUUGACUCCAGUGAGCACUCUAUCACCGCUAUAGGUAUUCUCAAGUAUGGCUCUUGCCUAAGUGGAGCUUAAUCCAAACCCUCUAGUCAUUAUAAAUAUUAUCAGGUGUAUCUUCUACCUAAGUCGAGACUUUAAACUAGAGAACUAGACACUUUCCACAUAUAUGCUCGCAUGGCUAAAAUAAUUGAUAUUGAGAAAUGCAGUAUUCACCAUACUUCGUCGAGACUCAUAAACCAGUCUAUGUCAAAGUUGCAAUUUUUUUUUGCAAAAAAUUUAAUAUUUGACUUUAAAUUUUUAGAGAGGCGUGACCUCAUAGAAAAAGGCAAGCAUCCGAAUUAACAUGCUUGGUGGUUUGAUCCAUCACUUCUAUUCCAUUAUAUCAAAUGUGGCACUUGUCUACCGGCUUGCUAUUGCGGAAUUCUUUGUAUCUUAGAGCGCCGUUCCAUUCUAUGUCUAGUAGGAGAAAAAUAUCUGAAGAAUAGGAGGUAAUGCUUUGACCAAUAGAGGAGAGGCUUAGAUGCCUUCUUCCCCCACUAAACAAUGGUCUCGUCAGCAAGCACAUCAAUCCAAAUCCGCCACUAAGACAACAAACUACACGUCACAUCAACCCAUACAAAAUAUCAAGGAUUCAACAUGUUGCCAUCAUAAACAUUUAUGUAUUUUUCUUUCCCUUUUCCAUGAAAUGGAAUGGUGGGCUGUCAUUUACUUUUCUUGCAAAUUGAUCAUCCAUUAAAAAUUAUAUGCGUAGCUUCAUUAUAUCGCGAAUUUACUGCCGCAUUUUCUAUGAUCUUACUUUAAUUUAUGGAAAAUUAAGCCAUACAUCACCAGUGUAUUUAUUGAUGCUUCAUAAUCGAAAGACUUUUUGGAAGACUCAAGUUGUGAAAUAGUCAAAAGUAGGAAGUUAUUCUCUACUGAUUCAAAGACCAACCACUUUAUGAAAAAAGAUAAUUCAAAUUUAUUUACCAAAAGCAUGGGGAGCUCGUGGGGCACAUCGGUUCUAGUGUAUACGCAGCAAAAGAGUCAAGAUCUUGAGAGUGUCAAGGUCCCAUCACGUGAUGGUAGGGAGAUCGAACUCUAGCUCUUUCACGAGAUGAACAAAAGCUAAUGCCCCACUAUGUGAAUUUUGUUUUCUUUUAGAAGUAAAAUCCUAGUGUCCUGUAGCUUUUUGAGAAAAUACCAAAAAAACGUAUGUCACACUCUCGAUAGAUCCAUGCGACUGUUAGGAACCGCGGAGGGGUGGCUGCUAACUGGCGACGUAAUAGGAGAGAGAUAGCGGACGAGAGAGAAGUUUGGGUUAAGGUUUGCCGGUCGUUUUGCAGGGCAACAACGGUAGCUUGGGAAGGAAAAAAAUGAUGAUUCGCGUACAUGUGCGGGGCCAUCCGGCGGCGAGUCGAAGAGACGAAACUCAAAAUGUAAAUUGCAAGUUUCGAGCGCCGAGAUAAUAUUCAAUCUGUAUGUAGCCGCAAACCCAAAAAGGUGACUUUUUCUGCUACUAUUCCUGUAUCCCAUCUCAGGACUGUUGAUGGAGGAGUGGCUUUGAAGCUAGGCCUCCUCCUCUAAUCAAAUCUAUUUCUUCAGAGGAUAAUGCCGACAAUUAAAGCAACUUGAAGCUUGGCAGGAACAUCAAUUAGGACCAAAAAACUUUUGAUUGAUGUUACGUGUUAGCAUUGAUGCGAUAUUGUUAAGCAUAAUUUAUCGUGUUUGUUCUUUAAUUUGGAUUUAAUUUAUGCUAGGCUGACACGAGAAUCGUGUUGAUUUUUUCAGCCGAAGUUUUGCUCGACAUCUUUUCUUUCCUCUUUAUCUAGAGGUGGCAAAUGGGUUUCGAUUUAUCACAGCCCACCAAUUCACGAAACGGGCUACGCUAGCUAAUCCAUUUUGUGCCAUGGGCCGGUCCACCUUGCUUUGUGCCCCUGCUCAUUGAAAAACCAAAAAUUUGGGAAAAUUUCUUUUCAAAAUUGAUUGGAAAAGCCCUUCUCUCUCAUAUGUUUACCCGAUGAACGAUACGAGUAUUACAAUUCGGGAAGAAUUUCCGAUACUGAAUGGGUUUUAGAAGAGAUGUUUCCUACCUCAUGUGAAGAGACAUUCCGAAUUCCAGCGUGCCGGCGGAAUUGCAGCUGCCUAUAGGUAGACUGAGUAGUUAUGAUUCCCCAUGGGUAUAGGAUCCUUAUGGUAACACCUAGUCUAGUUAUCUCCCCACUCUUUUACCGAUAUAGGGAGAAGAACUUCUCCAUUAUGACUGGCAGACGGGCAUCCUAGUUCUAACGAUCCCACUGCUAAGGUUUGAUUGCCAUCCUUGGUCGACCUUAGGUAAACCAUGACCCAUGAGCAGGUGAUCGUGGAUUGCGGUUCGAAAAGAAAUCCCGAUUGAUUCGAAAUGGUCAUCGAAAAGUCAGGUUAGAGAGAAAUGGAACAUACAAUUAAAGUUUGGAGGGUUUUAAACGAACUUUCCGAAUAAUAUUUCCAGCCCUUAAAACUCCACAUCAAUUAAUAUGGUCGGUUUUCGAUGGGUCUGUGAAAUUCACGUCUUCGAACAAAUCUAUAUUUUGUUCAAGUGAUUUUAUGCUAAUAAUUUUUUUUUUAAUAAUUUGCAUAUUUUGAUAUUGAAAUGAGGUAAAUGAGAAAUUUUCAAAAAGAGAUUGAAAUGCCAAACCUAAGCCCAAAUUAGCCCGCACUAGACCAAAAUUACAUCGGCCCAAGGCCACCAUUCAGGGUGGACCGAAUGUCUCUUUCAUUUGCAAUUUCCUUUGUGACAGUUUUAGUUAUCACUAGAUCUCUGGACUACCCUACGUGUUGAAAUCUUAAAUUUAGGUCAAGAAAGUUUUCAAAGCUAACACCAAUCCGAUGAAUAAAAUCAAAAGAAGUCCAACCAAAAAAAUGCUUUUUUUGGUGUGAGAGAAGCGUAUUCUUUCAUUUAAAUGUCUCUGACUUCCUCUUUAAGACUAGACUUCCCCCUUGCAAAAGGUUGGAACUAUGAACCAUUACGAUGGAUCCAAUCUAUUAUAAACCGGAUCUAGACAAGUGUAUUUCUUUCAACAAAAUUGUGUUGAUAAACAAAGUUUUGUGCGGCAACUUUAGGUUUUUAUAACCAUACUAGUUCAAAAUGAACUUUUACCACUCAUUACCAAAUAAUAAAUGAAUAUGUAGCUUUAGUAGCAGUCCAGAUAGUUAUUAAAGUCGUUCUUUCUAAAGUUAGAUUAAAAAAUCCUUGAUUACCAGAUUUAACUUCAAAAAUCUUUGACAUCGUUUUCCCCCUUCACGUAUUUAAGGAGGGUAGGUACCUCCAGAUGAGCAGGAAGAUUCAGCUUCCUCAAUUCCUUGAGAACCGCGAGCCAGUCGGCUCUACUGGGCUUCAUGAUCUUCACCCAAGCAAGCCAAAACAUCCGACAAGCUCGCCCUCUGACGAUCGAAACAUAUGAUUUGCCUCAUCAACGCCUUGCACAUUUUCGCCAUCUUGAAAGGAAGCUUGGAUUUGGCGAUCCUCUGCUCCUCGGUAGCACGAGGCCCCACCUCGACCCAUUUGAAACUGGGCCCACCCUCUUCAGGGUUCUCAGCUGUUGCGGCAUUUCCGCCGCCGGCCGGCGAAGAAAACAGAGGCGAAGCAAGAGAGCGAGCGACCCUUGUCACGAUGAGUUUGAACAAGAAUGUGAACUGAAGACGGCGAGUUUCGCCACCGGACGAUCGUGGGUCGCCGCCACUGAAAACGACUGCUCUUCUUUUUGCCUUGCGGACGGUCACCCGCACGCCACACAUUCCUUUUCCAUGCUCACAAAUCAAAGGGUUUGAAUUCCUACUCGUGGUUAACUUGUUGAGGAGGAUUGGGAUUGCAAUAACUAGUCAGAAAAGAACCGGGGGGGGGGGGGGAGUCGAUUCUCUUUUCCCCCGCGGGCGGUGGGCGGCAAUUCUAAAGCUGCAGAAGCUAGGUCAGGAUAAGUGGCUCUGAUCCAAUGACAUAAAAUGAAGAGCAUUUGGGAGGAAAUGUUUUCUGUAUUUCCGUAUAUUCAUUGUACAAGUACACUUCUCUAUUUAUACUACUAGAGAAAGAUGUAAGACAGGAAAGAAAUAUACAUGAUACGAUUACAUUCCUAACAUUCCUAAUUUACCAAGCUAAUGAUGGAUUAACUGAAUCAAUAAUUGAUUUAAUUGAUUCAAUUAAAUCACAGCUAGAGUCAGUAUCUACUAUUGUAUUUCUAACACAUGAAAAUGCCAACAACUUAUGCAUAAAGCACCAUAGUGAUUUACUCGUGCCUCAUUUAUAUUUAGUGUGCUCUUUUGAGAACUUGAAGUGAUUUCUGAAAGGAGUGUUUCUGUUUUUGCAUUAUGAACUUCAAAUCUAUUUAACACCUUUUCAAUGUACUUUUUUCUCGAGAUAACUUUUACAUUACAAAAGGGGAGACGGCCAUUGCUGCAUGGUCGAGAAGGUGGACCAGAUCGAGUACCGCAACAUGCACUCGUUGCGCCAGAUCUCGAAGACCUGCUGGUUGGGGCAUCUUUGGAGGAUAUCCUGCUUUCCAGUGGCCACGCAGUUGCUGCACGGGGCGAUGUUAAGGUCACCAUGGGAGAGGAAGAGCCCCUAGGCCCGAUCGGGAGGGUUUUGGCCAGCGGUGGCCUUGGUGAAACCAUCGAUGCUGUUAUUGGCACGGAGGAGAGGGAAGGGAGGAGGGUGUCGAGGUUGGAUUGGUAGGUGUUUUUUAUUUUUAUUUUUGGGAGGCUGAUUUGAUCAGCUAGUUUGUUGAAUUGAUUGGGCUUGCGGCAUGAGCACGCCCCCGGGUACGGGCACGGUCAGGGAAUUAUAAGAAGAACAGCAUGGUCUGCUCUCCAAGAUAUUUUUGUUGCGAGAACUAUUUGAAGAAUCUAAAUACAUGUAUUACGAUAUAUAUGGACCGUCAUGUCUGGUAAAUAAUUGCAUCAUGACCAAUACCAGGUGCACACAAAUUGUGAUUGUAAAUACAAUCUAAACAUGGGAUUGGCCUAUCAAAUUCUUAAAUUAUGUAACUGCGGGGUUGCUAAUGUUUCACCUUAGUUAUUAAUGUCCAAAUGGUGGUUAUCCAAUGGCUAUAAAUGCAAUCAAGGCCCUGGUUUAGUAGAAUCAUAGUAUUAAGCUAAUUACUUGGACAUCAUCGUAUAACAUAUUUCCUUUAUCAAUACCGAAGAAAAGAAUUGGAAUAUAUAUACUCAUUCCAUAACUGGCAUGUGGUAAAAACUUGUAGGUUUAUGUGAGAUUGCUAUUCUCACUUUUUCUUAGGUUCCAUUCAUAUCUAAAAAAGUAACUUCCAAGAAAAUAUUUUCUAGAUUUUCUAGUGUUUCGUUCAUUGAAAAUAAACGAGUCAAGGAAAAUAUUUUUCAUCAAUGAAAAAUACCUUCAAAAGAGGGGAAAACGAUUUUCUCUUUUUUGCCCCUCUUUCUCUCACCAAACCAAGCAUGUUCUCUUUUGUGCCCUCCUUUUACUUUUUUUUUUUAUUUAUAAAUUUUCUUUUUCUUGUUCCUUCUCCUUUGGCCUAUCACUAACCACGGUGAUAGCUAGCGAUCUACCUUAGGUGAGGGAUGAUCUCACACAAGGCCUCGCUUGCCAAUCUAACGAGGCCUCAAGCCUAGCGAACCUUGGGUGAUGCUCAAGUUUGCUGACCUUUAGCGAGCUCGAAGGUCACUAAUCUAGCAAGGCUUGAGCUCACUUGUAGCCAAUCAUUGGCUAUCAAUUGUAUGGCGACUAGAAGAAGAAAAAAAAGAAAAGAAAAGAAAUUAAAAGAGAAAAAUCAAAAAAUAAAAAUUCGAUUUAAAAUAUGAAAAUAAAAAUAAAAAAUAAAAAAAAUAAACAGAAAAAAAAUAUUAAAAGGAUUGCAUAGAGGAAAAUAAAAUCCUUUCUUCCAUACCAAAGGGUGAAAAAUAUUUUCUAAUUCAUUUUUAGAUUUUAUUUAAACAUAGGAAAUAUUGUCAUUUUCCUUGAAAAUGACUUUUUGAAAAAUAUCUUCUAGAAACAUUACAUUUUCCAUGAAAUGAGCAAAGCCCGCAUAACAAAUUCUCCUAUAUCACGUAGUCUACACAAUGACAUGUAAUGAUUGAUGCAUAAUAUAGAUUAGUUUUGACAUCAAAAUUAUGGCGACCUAUUUAGUCAAUUAUUGCAUAGAAAAUCAAGGAUCAACCAAAUUCCUAGGCAAAAGCAUUAUUAAUUUGCAUUUGCAUAUUUUCGGAUUUUUUGUUUAAUAGCAUUAAGCCCACAUAAACUACACUUCCGUCAAAAAAAAAAAAAAACUACAUUUUGAUUGGAUAGGAGUUUAUGGACUUAAGUAGGGAGGCUCUGAGCUUAAUUAUAUUAUUUGGGCUAAGCCCAUAAAAGCAUAAAAUUCGGCUAAGCCCAUUGAAUACACACCAUGGCCGAAAUGCACAUGUGGAGUGCCAAAUUAGGAAAGAUUGCAAAGUCUCAUUAAAAUUGGAGGAAAUAAAAUUAUUAUCCUUACAAAUUUUAAUUAUACCGAGAUGAUUAGAGAAUGAUAGUAUUUCCUAAGAAGUUAGAGUUAAUAUAUUCACUUGAGCUAAAAUAGAAAGUGAGGGAAUUCAGUAAAUUAGUAGACAUCUCGAAGAAGAUUCAGGCAUGGAUUCAGUGGGCUAUUGAAGCACAUUCAAAGAUUUCUAAGUUGAAUUAACAAUGGUGCAAAAUAAUGGGCAAGGUAAAGAAAAGGCAAGACAAUGGGAAUAUAUAGUAAGGAAAAGAGAUAAGCACAUUAGAAAUUCUAAAACUUGUUACGAAAGUGUAAUUGAGUCUUAAAUUUUCAAGAAAUACAAUCAAGUUUUAAAACUAGUUACAAAAGUACAAUCGAGUUAUAAAACUUGUUGCGAAGUGUAAUUGAGUUUUAAAACUUUGACUAAACUAGUUUGAUAAAUUUUAGAACUUGAUUAUAUAUUUUAAAAAUUUUAGCACUCAAUUGCACUUUUUUUUAUAAAUUUUAAGACUCGAUUAAACUUUUGAAAAAUUUUAGGAUUUAGUUAUACUUUUGUGAGAAAUUUUAAAAUUUUCAAUGCACUUAUUCUUAAGGAAAAUGUGGCCAUAGUGGAAGACCAAAAAUUAACUUGGAUUCCCCGGUCUUACAAGGUCUCCCACUCUGUCUCUCUUCAAGUAUUCCACACCCCCACCCCCUUUCCCAAACACAUACAGAAUUUUAGCGAUUGAGAGCAAGUUCUCAUCAACUUCUCUUCAACAUCCUCCCGCGCCUAAUCCGUCAACAUUACACGGGCACACAUUGCCUCAAUAAAUGAGAGAUCGUGGACAUCACAGAGGGGAUCUAUUCGUGUUCUGAGUCCUCCAUCGCACGAACUCAAAUGAUAUUGACUGGAAACACACGCAAACGAAGGAGAACCUAAUAAUUCAGUGUAGUCGUGUUGUGUUCCUUAAUAGGAGAAGCCAACAUGUACAUCAUGCGCUUGAUCCCGUGACAACUACCAGCCUAUUUUCGAAAAACAUAGGCACUUGUUGAUCGUUCAUUAAUGAUACCUGUGGAAGGCCAACGAUCUCGAGGUCUCUGUAAGACUAUCGUGAAAAGAAAGACUUCCACUCGCAUCACAAUUCACCGAGGGUACAGCUCAGUAAUCGACAUUUCAUUGGUCGACAAAGACAUAGACCUACUGGCAGAUUGGUCCGACUCAUGCUCUUUCAACUGUCUCUCGGUGCUCCUUCGAAGGAAGAAGGCCGGUCGUCGAGGCUGUGGAAGCUUAACAGAGUGGCUGCUCAACAUAAGGACUAUGCUUGCCAUGGUGGGUCUAUAAGCUGGAUCUUCCUGAACACCUAGCAAGCCAAUGUGGAGGCAUCUAACUACUUCAUCUAUUGAAUAUGAGUCGCCAAUGAACGGGUCUAACACUUCGAGUGGUGUACCGGCUCUCCAAUGCUUCCACGCCUGAAAAAAAUAUUUCAUUGGAGGAAUUUCAACUUAAUUAGAUUGAUGAAGCUUAAUAUAUGUUGUAAUAGUCCAUAUCUAGCUUACAUAGCUGGCAAGAUUUUCGCCUUCAUCUAAUUGGAAGGAGCAGUUGUUCUUCAUGCCACUAAUGAUCUCUAGGAUUAGGACACCGAAACUAUAGACAUCGGAUUUUGCUGAAAUUUGUCCACGCAUUGCAUACUCAGGAGACAAGUAACCACUGCAAACCAAAAUACAUGGGUUGUAGCAUCAAUUAUGUUAUUAUAAGUUGAUAAAGCCAUAUUCUAAUGAAUAUGUACCAAAAUUAGCAUGUAUAUGAGCAUGGUGUUUUUCUAAUUCAUAGAUCAACCACAAGAUAGAUCAUAUAAACAAUAGAUUAGUAGUCAUCUAAGAAAGAGUUUGAGACUCACAAGGUCCCAACGAUUUUCUUAGUGUUUGCCCGAGUUUGAUCUACUCCGAAAAUCCUAGCCAUGCCAAAAUCUGAAAUCUUCGGGUUCAUAUCAUUGUCUAACAAGAUAUUGCUAGGUUUUAGAUCACGAUGAAUGAUUCGGAGUCUAGAAUCUUCAUGUAGAUAGAGCAUUCCUCGAGCGAUUCCAGAUAUUAUCUUGUAACGUCUUGACCAAUCCAAUUUCCCUCUCUUAUCAGGCUCUGCAUAUUUACAAUAUUAGAAACCAACUAUUUUGGAUUGAUAAAUUUUGGAAGAACUUUCAUCAAGCUUCCCGAAAGCUAUUGAGAAUCUCAACUUUAAGUUCGUGCUGAUCACACAAAUAGUUUCUUUCGCAUGGAAAAUGACAACUUAUUAAAGUAUGCAACAUACCGAAUAAAAAGUAAUCGAGGCUUUUGUUCGGCACAAACUCAUAGAUAAGUAACUUUUCUUGUCCAUCUAAGCAAAACCCGAGCAGCCGCACAAGGUUUCGAUGUUGAAGCUUCGAUACCAAAACAACCUCAUUUUUGAAUUCUCCAAUACCUUGUCUUGAGCUUUUAGAUAAUCUCUUCACAGCUAUUUUUUGUCCAUUUGGUAGCCUACCCUGAAAUUUGUUAAUUGGAUUGUUUAAGUACACAUGAAUAGCUUGUAACCACAAAUUCACAUAACAUAUGUCAAAGUUGUCAAUUUUUCUAACUGAUAAUACCUGGAAAACUUCACCGAAUCCACCCUCACCCAACUUGUUUUGAUGAGAGAAAUUGUCUGUGGCGGCUUGUACGGUGGCUAAAUCAUACUGCAGGGACUCGGCUUUUGUAAUUCCAUUUACGCCUACAAGACAAAACAACACAAAAUGGUCAAUUAACCAAAAUCAUAGAACAGUACAUCCCGCCUUCACAAUUUCAUCAUUCCAUCCAAGUAUACGGCGCAAGGCAUAUCCCGUACUGCUUUGAUCUCCUUGGACGGCAUUGUACGUCUUGGUCGCUUUACUCUGACUGAAACAACAAGCAAGGAAGAGAAGCACCACGCCUAUGCCAACAGGAACCGCGACGGCAAUGAUUAUUACAGUAGCUUUAUUUCUUUUGCCUACAUAUGUGCAACCAAAAUUUAAGCAUCAGAAUAUGUGUCGUUUAUGAAUAUAUGAGAUUUUAGUAACUGGAAUUGCUACCACAAGCAGAGCAAAUGUAGAAAAAAGAAGAAGAGAAAAACAAUGCUUAAAAAGCAAACGUGAAGAAAUUAACGAUCCAUUUGUUUCACUGAAAACAUUUUAUCCCUAAAAAUAUUUUUAGGAAAUUUUGGAGAAAGUAAGCCAUUAUUUAAUGUUUUUUCCCAGAAAACAAGUUGAAAGAGUUGAUUUGAUGGUAUUUAUUAGUCAGUGAAUCCAUUAAAGGCAGCUUGUAUUGCUAAAAAUGGCAUGAAAUGACUAAAAAAUUAGAAUCAACAUGUCUUUAUUUAUUUUUUAAUCCAUAAAAAAUAAAAAAUAAAGAUAUUGGGAAAGAAUUAUGAAAUCAUAUGUGUAAAACAUUAUGCAUGAUCAUGUUUGUUUGAGAAUGUAACAGAACAUGAGAAUUAAUGACUAAAACAAAUGAGACUUACUGAAAAAGAAACUAAUAAAAAUGAUGAGAGAUAAGAAAUAGACAUAUAGAGACCUAUACUUCUCACUCUGACCAGCAACAACAAAUCAAGAAAAUGGUUACCUUCUUGUCAGAAGGAGAAAUCGUUUUUCCCAAUCUAAUUUCUUGUUUUCGGUCCAUGGAAAAUGCUCAUCAUAGAUUGACUAGAUUUUCAUUAUCCAAACACUUAAAAGUUGAAAAACAAUCUCCCGAAAAUGAUUUUCCUUCAAACAAACAGACCCUAAGCUGGAAUCCACAAUCUGUCCUUCAUAGAAAAAAUGCAAUUGUUUCCCUAUUACCUAUGUGAGCACAUUGAUUGUUUAUUGGGGGAUUAACCAUUGAUUGAUUAAAAGCGACCUUUUACCAAUAGUCAUAUAAGUGAGCUAUCCACCUUAGAAAAAGUUGUUACCUAAUAUGUAUUUCAUCUUGACUUUGUAGCAUUAAAGAAUUGAAAGAAGCACUAAUUUCAAGAACUUAUAAUAUCAGUAUAACCUUCUUCUUCUUCUUCUUCUUCUUUUUUGUGUCAAAAAUACUUAUAAUAUUUGUCCAGCCCAGCCACAGUUUUCUUAACGAAAAGUUGCAGCAUAAACACCGGAGUCCCCGCUUAAACUAAAGCCCAGGACCAACAAGCGCACUAUGACGAGAAAUUGUUUUUAUGAUCCUCCAAUAUCACCUCAUAUCUUUAGUCAACCGAUCACGUCAUUUUAUUUUAGGAAAAAUUCUAUAAUUACUCAAGGUGGAUACGCGCUAAAUCAAGAUCUUGAUUCCAAUUAAAGCGAAAAGAGUUAGGACAGACGAAGAUCAGCAAUACAAACAGACAUUUACCUUUAGGUCCAGUCGCCGGAGCAGGUCGUGGAGGUGCUGUUGCUGGUGCUGGUGCCGGUGCCGGCAGAGCCGAGGUGUUAUAAAAGGCGUAGAGCUGGUACCUCACAUUGCAGCUCGGAGUGAGCAAGCUACCCCCUUGCUUCCCCUGAGGUAGAUUAGCGAUACCGAACUGGAGGCAUGUGCCACAGUCUGAUGCCGUCAAGUCCGGCGUGCACUGUGCAAGUGCGUACAGCUUCUGCAUGCUCGUGAUGUUUGCCUCCGCCACGGCGACCUUCUUCCCUGACCCACCAGCUGAAGCCCUCACCGCGACGUUGUUGAGGGUUUCUAAUAGGACCUGCAUGAACCGGAUUGGGUCCAUGACGUUCUCGUCGUACAAAAGGGGAGAUGGCGAUUGCUCCAUGACUGAGAAGAUGGACUGGUUCGAGUACCGCAACAUGCACUCGUCGUACCAGAUAACAGAGACCCGCCGGUUGGGGCAUCUUCGGAGGAUCUCCUGCUUUCCAGUGGCCACGCAGAUGCUGCAAGUGGCGAUGUCAAGGUCGCCGCGGCAAAGGAAGAGCCCGUAGGCCCGAUCGGGAGGGUUUUGGCCAGCAGUAGCGUUCGCGAAGCCGUCGGUGCUGUGGGUGGCGGCGGAGGAAAGGGAAGAGAGGAGUGUGUGGAGGUUGGAACGGUAGGUGGAGUUGGGGCUGAAGAGGGAGGUGUUUGGGCAAUCAUGAUAUAUGUAAUUAGGGGCAGCUCCAGUACCGAAAAUUUUGAUGAAGAAGGAGAGAGAGAGGCAGAUGGUAAGGCAAGAAUUCAUGAUUUGCUAGCUUGAUGAAUAGAUCGAGGUUGCAGCACGGACACGGAAUAGUAGGAAGAAGAGCAUGUGGUCUCUCUCUCCAAGAUAUUUUUGUGGUGAGAACUAUUUGGAGAAUCUGAAUGCAUGGAUUAAAAUAAAAGUGGACCGUCAUGUCUGAAGAAUAAUUGCAGCAUGACCAGUACCGGGUGCUUAAAAAUUGUGAUGGUAAAAGCAAUCUAAACAUAGGAUUAGACUUCCGACCGAAAAAAAAACAAAGGGAUUAAGCUAUCAUCCUUCAUUGGCUUUUAUGCAAGCAAGGUCCUAGUUAAGUGGAAUCAUGGUAUUAAGCUAAUUACUUGGACAUCAUCAUAUAACAAUUUUGUUUUUAUUAAUACUGUAGAAAAGUAUCAGAAUAUAUCGAUUCACUCUAUAUUUAGGCAUGUGGUAAAAACUUGUAUUUUUUUAUGUAAGGUUCGUUCUUUUCACUUUUUCUUAAUCUGUGAUUAACUAAAUAAAUUAGACUAAGCCUACGCAAUAAAUUCUCAUGUCACACGUAGUCUACACAACAACAUGUGAUGGAUGAUACAUAGUAUAGAUUAUUAGACUGGGUUUACCAAAGCAAAAUUUGAGCAAUUUUAUCAUCAUAUACUUGUUAUACUGAAAAUGCAACUGAGAUUAGGUUUAACAGCACAAUUGAAAGAUUAGGGGUGAAUUAUCUAUUUUCUUUCUUGUUUUUGAUAAGUUAACACAAGGCGCACCAUUGCAAAUUGAAAUUCGAGGAUCAAAGUUUGAACAUUUAAAAUUUUGACAUUUUAUUUCAUAUGACAUAUCUAAACGUUUUAAACCAUAUAGAAAUUGAUAUCUUAAAUCCUGAAAAACUAUAGUAUACUUUUUUCUUUAUACAGGAAGGUCAAAAGAGAUUUAUGACAAGUCAAGACAAACCGGUGGGAGAUUUUCCCUAAAGUCAAAUACAGUUAAAGCGACAUGAAUUUCAGUGUGUUAGGCCAUUCAAAUUCAUGUGGACAGAAGAAUAAGAUGGAUUGUGAGGAUGGAAGACAGCAACUGCCCUUGUACGAGGUCAUUGACUAAAGUCAAUUUAUGUGAGUUCGCACCCUCAUUUACUCCAACGUGGAGACUGCGACAAGAAAAGUAUGAACACCAUUGCAUAGGAGUAUCUUAGCCAAUUACAUCUUAGUCAUUAAACGUUAUAAGAGUCAUAAGUGGGACCUAUAUGAUUUAAUGAUCAAGAUGGAGUGGGCUCACCUGUCUAGAUGAGUACAAGACUUGCUUGCUGUAGAGAGAGAAAGGAAGGGAAAACCAGUAAGGCGCUAACUUAGAUGGUUAGAAAUUUUUUCAGCUUGUUUAGUGAUCUUAGGUUCAAGCCUUGUAAAAUUCAGUAUGCACCAAGCUGAUAUAGGCAUACUCUAAAGAUCACUCGAGAAGGUGAAUAAAUCGAUAUGUGCGAAAACUGAUGGAAAUACCACCUCAUAACUAUUUAAAAAAAAAAAAAGACGGGUGAAAGUGUGAUGUUGGUCUUUUUCUUUAGACAUGUAGAGGACGGCCUCAAUCGACCACCAUGAUAGAGGUCGCCAGCCUGCAUUGCGGGCCUGGGCGACCACGUCCUGAGAGCACAAUGGCUAAGUCUCCUGAGAACGAGUUCAGGUGGUGCUCGCAUGAUUCCUUCCUCACCUCCCUAUCCUUAUCCAGUGUUGAGCGUUAGGCAAUCACCACGCCGGGUUGUCGUUGGCCUUCGGCAGCCAUGACAUAGUGGUCCGAUCACAAGUGCCUUCGAUUGUCAAUGAGAUUCUUUAUAUAAUUUUAUUUUCCUCUUAAUUUUAUCUUGAAUUACUAAAUAAUUUGCUCCGUCUUAUUCGAGACUUACCAUAUAAGAAAUAGGAUCAUGUCAUGCAAGCGUAUCCUCCUCCUCCUGCCAACGGAAGCAUGAACCUCGGGAUUAAUGGUCCCGUCAUUUAAGCAAGUCAAUUACGUUAUCUUACAUUUUUCCAAAGCAGAAUAAUGCUGACUGAGUGGGACUCUUUGGUCCUUAUCCUCAAGCGGAGACUUGGGAAAGAAAAGUCUAAGGAUGUCGACCUAACUGGAUAUGAGAGAGAGAGAGAGAGAGAGAGAGAGAGAGGAGUGGGACUCUUUGGUCCUCAGAGAGAGAGAGAGAGAGAGAGAGAGAGAGAGAGAGGAGUGG
rnacentral:lncRNA from 1 species